AGCAUAUUGAUCAGAUUCCUUACAUCGAUACUCCACUUCACAUAGCAGCAAAUGAAGGCCAAAUUAAGUUUGCAAUGGAGAUUAUAAACUUGAAGCCUUCGUUUGGUCGGAAGCUAAACCAAGACGGGUUUAGCCCCAUGCACUUGGCCUUCAAAAUGGGGCAUACCAAGCUAGUGCUUCGACUGUUGCAGACCGAUAAAGACCUGGUUCGCGUCAAAGGAAGGGAAAGGAUGACCCCUUUCCAUUGUGCAGCUGCAGCGGGGAACUCUAAUCUUUUAUUCCAGUUCCUUGAAACUUGCCCUGAAUGCGUUGAGGAUGUCACGGUUCGCAACGAGACUGCAUUACAUCUUGCUCUGAUAAACGACCACACCGACGCUUUUAAUUUCUUACUUGGAUGGCUUCGAAAGAACCGUCGUGGAGGAGGCAAGGAUUUGGAAAGAAAGGUUAUGAAUUGGAGAGAUGAUGAUGACAACACUGCGUUGCACAUUGCAGCUACAAAGCAACAACACCAGGUAUAGAUGCAUUAUAAUGAUAAGUUGCGUAUAUUCCUUUGAUAAUCUUACUAAUGACUGUUUAUAAUAUUCUACGCAGGCAGUACAACUGUUGUUGGAUUCCUUUUAUGGGUUAGAUGUAAAAGCUAAGAACUCGGAAGGCUUGACAGCUCGAGAAAUCAUAGAAAAAGUUGGAAGACAAGGGUUGAACAUGAGUAGCGCCGAAGACGAUGAUAAGACCACCGCCAAGAUUAAGCGCAUUAAGAAAAGAACUAGUCGGUCUGAAAGAGCAUUAGUAAGGUUGAUUCGUACAAAGAAUGGGUUGUCGGAGAACAUGAUCAACGCAACACUGGUGGUAGCGGCGCUGGUCAUAACAGCGAUCUACCAAUCAUCUUUAAGCCCACCGAGAGGUCUUUGGCAAGGUGAUAAAAUUAGUAACUCCACCACCACCUCAAACCUUACUACUACCACUAAAUUUGGACACUUUAACGACAAUUACGAUGAAAAACGUUCUAAACAUGUGUUGGGUGAUGAAACAAGGAAAUCUGGUACAGCAAUCAUGAAUCCCAACUUGUUUAUGUGGUUUUGGUUAGUCAAUUUUAUAGCAUUUGGGCUUCCGGUUCUUCUAACCGUUUUCCUUCUAUACGAUGUAGCUCAUAUUCUUCUUAUCCCGCUUUAUUUUCUAUCCGUCUCCUACUUUCACUGCAUGACAAUAAUAUCUCCGUCCAUGUUUUGGGCAAACCUCAACUUUGUUGUCAUGUGGACAGCCAUUAUUCUCCCGUCUGUCUUAGGUUUUGGAGGCGUAUGGUUAUGGAAGCGGCUAAAGUACCGGGAAAUGACACAAAUACGCAAACGUGUCCGCAAUGACAAAUAAUAUCGGAAUAAUUCAAUACUUGCGAAUGUCAGUCUAAUUCAUAUAUUAUAUUACGUACUCUUUUCCAUUUUCUCUGUAUUAAUAUCUUUUGUUUUUGAGAAAAAACAAAACACUAUGUAAUCGCUUUGGAUAAAUUUAAUAGGAAUAAAAUUACUUUUCCCGACCGAUAUAUUUGAAGUAUCGUUUGUUCAAAAUCAACUGAUUUCUAAAUGUGUUAAUAAUAUUUUCAAGUUAUUAAUUAAAAAUAUCUUUAACAUAAAGAUAUAUAUGUAAUAUAUAUUUAUUAUAUUAUUACAUAUUUAUUAUUUUGUUUAUAUAAUAAAAGAGUUAUAUAUUGAUUAAAAAGAUGAAUUAAAAAACUAGAAAUUAAUAUAUUUAUUAAUUAAAAAUUAACAUGAAAUAAAAAUACAAAUAUGAGUAGGAGAUGAAUUAAAACCGAGACUCAAAAAUAAAAUUACUAACAUUUAAUUAUUUGACCAAAUAAAUUAAUGUGCCAAGUUAUUAAAGAAAACACAUUUUAUCCAACAAGACACAUUUUACAUUUCUGUCUCUAAAAUCAACCUAUUCCUAUAAAUAUUAAAAAAAUCCACCCUACACUCUAAUUAUUUUCUAAAAAGGACAUAUAUUGCUAGUAUACCCUAAACCUAGGAAGGGUGGCUGUGGUGCGCCACGCUUUCUAACGCAAAUAAUAAUAACAUCUAAAUUUCAUGAGAGUUUGGUGUCCCUGUUCUUAAUUCUAAAAAAUAGAAUCUCUCAAAUAAGAAUAAUAAAAUAAAAUAAUCUUAAGUCUCGUAUGCGAAAUUGAGUUUUUGUGUCAAAUUUUUUGUGCAAUUUGUAUAUUCGUUAGUUUCCGACUCAUUGAACAAAUAAUUGUAUUUAUAUAGAAAUGAUAAAUUAAGUAAAAUAUGUCAAUUAAGCAUAUUAUCAUCUAUAUAUUAUAAUAUUAACUAAUUUGACUAUCACUUAAAUAUAUAUUAUCUACUUUAUUUAUCUUUUGAAAUAUAUAUAUAUAUGUAAUACCCAAUUGGUGCCCGGGGCCCAAACUUAAUACAAACCCAAAUACAACACUCAUCCCAAAUACUUUUAAACCAAAAAAAUGGCCCAAAACACAAUAGUUCAACAUUUGCCCAAUACCCAGCCCUAACAAUUUUCAACAAAAGAAACCCUAGGCAACUUUCAUGCCUCAGCGCCGCGGCUGCACACCCCACGUCGUGGUAACCGUCUCACGUCGCAGCAACUCCAGCACGUUCUUCCUGCAGCAAACAACAAAUUACAGCCACGAACAAUAGUAGAAAAAUGUAAGGAAAACUGUGAAAAAGGAGCAGCAGUUUUUUGGCUCUCUUAUUUCGGCGAUUAAAGCCAAAUAGGAAUGGGUAAAAAGGGGGGCAAAAAUAUUGUAUACAGAUAUAUUGGAAAGAAGAAAAAGAAUAAAAAAGCAAUUUUGAAGGUAAUCAGGGGUUCCAUUUUUUUCUUUUUUUUUCUGUCUUGUUUUCUUUAUUUUCUUUCUUGUUCUUUAAAACAAAAAGAAACAAAGAGAAAGAGAGAAGGCUCUUACCAGAAGAGGUGCGCCGUUGACAUUGUUGCUUGAUUUCGGUGUGAGGAGCAAAGGAGAAGAUGAAGCAGCCCUUGUGGCUGCUGUUGCUAAAAAUGAAAUGGGGUUUUAAUUAGGUUUUAAAAUGGGUUUUAAACAUUGAUGGGUUAUUUACGUCUUUAACCCUUUCAUGUUUUCCAUCAUUGCAAAACCAUUGUUUUUUUGUCUUCAAAUUUUUCCAUGACAUAUUAAAUUUGUAUAUAUUUAAAUGUUUUCGUAUGUUACAAUAUUUAUAUGCUUAUACAUUAUAUAUAUAUAUUUUAAAUGGAUUUAAAUACAUAUACAUAUCUUUUAUAUUUACUAUUAUUUUAUUUUCAUAGUUUUAUAUAUGUAUAUAUCUAUACGUUUAUGUUUUAUAAUAUUCAUACAUUUCCCAUAUUUUAUAAUUCAUACAUUUAUAUAUAGUUUUUUAUAAUAUAUAUAUAUAUAUGUUAUUCAAAACUGUUAUAAAUACAUUUUUCACAUUCGUUUUAUAUAUACCUACAUAUACAUGCUUUCAAAAUUUAUUAAUAUUUUUUUAUAUACUUUUACUUUUAUAAAUACAGGUACAACUUUUAUAUUUUAUUUUCAUAACUUUUGUAUAAACAUAAUUUAAAUUAAAAUAUUUGUCCCAUAUCGCAUUGACAUUUUUAAUACAUGUUUUAAAUACAUUUUGAUUUUGUCAAAACAUUAAAAUUAUUUUUAUGAUUCAAAAAUUUUCAAAAUAAAAACAAUAUUCAAAGUUAGGAAUUUUCGAGGAAAAUUGAGCCCUAACGUAUUGGGUUCCGAUUUUCUUUGUUAAUUCCAAAUAACCGAGAAUAUUCGUUAUUUAAAAUAUAAACAAAAAUUAUUUUCGGGAAUUCGAUAUGUUAUGUCCUAAUGCAUUGGGCAUAACAUAUUAUUUUUUUUCUUUUUUUUUCGAAAUAAAAUUUUUUCUUUAAAAAAAUAAUUAAAAAGAGAUAUUCAAAAUUCGGGGAUUUUGAGAAAUUGUACCCUAACGUAUUGGGUCUCAAUUUCUUCACAUGACUUGAAUAAUUGAUUAUCCUUUUUAGAUUUCAAAAUUUUAGUUUAACAAAAUCUUUUUAAUUUUCGACACUAAGACAUUAAACAAUCAAUUUGGUACCGAUUUUUGGGCGUUACGAGGGUGCUAAUCCUUCCUCGUGCGUAAUUGACUCCCGAACCUGUUUUCUCAAAUUUCGCAGGCCAAAAUUGCUUUUAAGGUGAGCCGAUCACACCUCAAUUAAGGAUCGGUGGUGACUCCAAUUUUUGUUUUUAAAGUCGAGAACUAAAUUUUUGUUUUCAAAAAAAUGGUUUCGACAGCUUGGCAACUCCGCUGGGGACUUUAGAGAGUCGAGCCAUAAAUUGAUUAUAUUUGUCUUUGUGUCGAAAAUCAAAAGUUUUUUUUAAAAAAAAAAAUUUCAUGAGUUCCCUUCGCACUCAUUGAUGUUUUAUCAUGGUAUUUUGGCAACUUUGCAUCUGCAUAUUGCAUUACAUAAUCGCUUGAUUAUUCCCUUCUAAGUGGGAGUGAGAAGCUACUCCUUCGUGAGGUUUUCACCUCCGUGCAGGAUAGUGGAUCACUUUCGGGAUACAUCCGUACCUAUGUCUUCAUGAGAUUUUCAUCUCCGUGCAGCCAUAGGGAAAUGUAUCCCCCUGAACUGAAUUCGGUCUGUAUGAGCCUAUAAUGGGUGAGGAUCGAGGAAUCUGCUGGUUCAGGUACCCUUACCCUAGAAGCCAAACCUCAUAUAGUGAACCUUAGGAACCCACCCUAGGUAGAAUUACUUUGAGCCUCAGUAGACACCUAAUUAGGAGUUUUUACUAUUUAUUGGUUGUAUUGCAUUUAAUUGUUACUAACUUUUUGUGUUUUAUUCUGAUUACAUGGCAUUCCAUUAUAAAGAGGCGUUUCGUAUUCGGUUGCUAGACAGAAAGUUUAUCAUGGGAAAUGAGUUUCUUGAUAAAGUGGAAGAUAAUACGGCUGCUUGAAUAUAUUCCAAGAAACGCAAGAAGGGUGAUGGAAGAAUACAUGACUUUACUUCGUGCCUCAAGGUCAAGUUGAUUAUUCAAGAGUUUCUGACAUUCCAACUGCCUUAAAGAAGCUGAGGAGCAUUACGGGGAUGGAUAGACGUUGGACCAGGAUCAAGCAAAAAGGAGGUAGAGGAGAUACCCCUUUUGAAGAAUUCGCAAGAUUUAUCUUAGCAUCCAGAUGAAGAAGGAGAAUAUGUCUUCUCCUGGAGUAUGAGGGCAAAGACGUAUAUAUAUCCGCUUUAUGUAAAGAAAUUUGUCUUCUAGUAAAGUUCGAACAGUUCCAAAAAGAAAUGCAUGAGCAAUUUCAGCAGCAGAUGCAGGAGCAGCUCGAGAAGGUUCAAGAGAAAAUGAUGGAUAAAAUGGUGGAAUCUCAAGGAAGUAUGAUGACAAAGUUAACGCAGUUGUUGACAGAAUGGAAAAAUAAAGGAAAGAGCCCCAUGGCCAAUGUUGAGGAGGAAGGUGAUGACGGACCCUUGUAUCCUCCAGGCUUUAAUCCCCCAGAUGUACAGCCCCAAGUGGAAAUGUACCCUCGUAAAUCUUCUGUUACCAUUAGGCCUCAGCAAUUUCAGGCCGAUGCUUCAAAGGCGAUGAAUUACCAAACUGGAUCAGGCUCUAGCCCUGAGAAUAUCCCCGUCAAUCUUGUAGUCCCUGACUUCGAUGAGGUGGUCGAAAAGGAAAAAGCAAAGGAAGAAUUGCGAAAGCAAUUGGAAGAAAUAUGGAAAUGGGUCGAAGAGAAGUUCAAGGCGAUAGAAAGUACUGAGAGAUAUGGUGGGAUUGAUGCUAAAGAUCUGAGUUUGGUACCAGAUUUGGUGCUACCUCACAAGUUCAAAAUGCCAGAAUUCGAGAAGAAUAAUGGGACCUGUUGCCCUGAGGCCCACAUUACCAUGUUUUGUAGACGAAUGACUGGGUAUGUCAAUAAUGAGCAGUUAUUGAUACACUAUUUUCAGGAUAGCUUCAUGGGAGCAGCGUCUAAAUGGUAUAAUCAAUUGAGCCGUGCUAAGAUUAGUUCCUGGAGGGAUUUGGCACAGGCUUUUAUGAAGCAGUACAGUCAUGUGGAAGAAAUGGUUCUUGACAUAAUUACUUUGCAAAACAUGGAGAAGAAGUCGAAUGAAGGUUUCAGGCAGUACGCUCAGAGAUGGAAGGAGGUUGCAGUUCAGGUCCAACCACCGCUCCUUGCAAGAAAAAUGGUGAUGCUCUUUAUAAAUAUGUUGAAGGCCCCAUUCAUCACACAUAUGUUGGGAAGUGCCACAAAAGGCUUUUCUGACAUAGUUAUGAGUGGUGAGAUGAUUGAGAGUGCUAUUAGGAGCGGAAAGAUUGAUGCUGGAAGAAAUAACAGAAAGUAAGCCCCAAAGGAAAAAGAAAAUAAGGUGAACAGCGUGAACACGUACAGCAAAUCGAUUAUGGUGAAUCAGCCAGGAAAGGUGGUUACUAAUUAGCAAGGUUCAUCAAAACAAGAAUCAGGUGUGAAGCCAGGUACUGAGAAGCUCCAGUUCACACCAAUUUUGAUAUCCUAUAAGGAGCUGUAUCAAAGCUUGUUCGAUGCGCAUGUUGUUGCUCCUUAUUACUUAAAACCUCCACAACCUCCGUAUCCUAAGUGGUAUGAUGCGAACGCGCAAUGUGACUACCACGCGGGAAUUACGAGGCACUCAAUAGAGAAUUGCAUUACCUUUAAAAAACUAGUUGAAAAAUUCAUCAACAUGGAUAUUGUCAAGUUGGGUGACUCAUCUAAUGCAGAAAAUCCGCUACCCAAUCAUGAUUGACAAUAAGGUGAAUGCGAUGUAUGAAGAGAUGUGGGGAAGCGUUCACAUCAAUGACAUGUAUGAAGACACAACUGAAGAAAGGGCCUUGUUAGAUGUCUGCCUUUAUAAAUUUGAGAGUGUUCUAAGCAAUUUGGAUUGCGGAAGAGACCCCUGUAGUUUUUAGAGCUUAUUUAGAGUAAUGUUCGGAUCAUUUUUGUUGUUUUUAGCCUAAAAAUAAUAGAAAUUCCUUUGUGAAAUAGGCUCAUGUCUGAACGUCAUUAUUCUAAUGAAAUGCAUCCUUGCGAUUAUUUGUGAACUAAUAUUCUUUCAGUCUGUCUGAAUAGUUAUUCUUUCAUUCUUUUGGAUUUUCUUCCACAUCAUUCAUUCAUUCAUAAUCAUAUUGUACAGAUAGUUCUUCAUAAAUUUAUACAUUCUUUUGUAUAUUCUUUGGUAUAUGGGCCCCUAGAUAUCAAUGACAUGAAUGACACUACUACAUGAAGUUAUAUUCUUUAAUUCACAAGGUGAAUAAAUCUACAGUAUCACUUAUACAUAUUAUCCCAAGCUUAGUAGGAUUUUAUAUAACUUUAACUCUUCAUAAUUUCUUUAUUUUCAUUUGCAUUUCUUUACUUUCCACGCUUAUUCCAUAUAUAUGCAUGACACACAAGUCAUAAACAUAUCAUUCAACCAUGGUUACAAGCUAGUGCAUUUAACCAAAGCCUUUUUCGAAUUGAUCACAUGAUAAGGCAUUUCAUAAGAAAUUGCAUAAUUUAAACCUUACCACUUUUUUAUGAGCACUAGUAUAUUUUCACUUAAAUACUUACCAAUUCAAUGCAUUAUAUAAAUAAUAAUUCAACCAAUAGCCUGACACUUGCCUAAGCAUCAAGCAGCAACACCGGUUAGUGUCUUUGCACACAUUACAUAUAAACUCAUCAUGCAUAAUUUUCUUGUAUCAACAUAUUAAAGAUAAUCAUACAUUCACAUGUCAUGAUACAUAUCAUUCUCUUAUCGUUUCUUCAUAGGCAUAUAUCAUUCAUUUCAUUAUUUCGAUAUUUCAUGUACCAUCAUUUUCAUGAAUUUCGCGUACAUACCGAUAAUAGUUCAUUUCAAACUCAUGUUAUCUCACUUCAGAAAUUUGCCCGUUAUAUCAUUUAAAUAUCAAUGGUUACAUUUAUUUCAGAUCAAUACCAAUAAUAAUCUAUAAAUGUUUCAAUUCAAUCACAUAAGUCUUUUACUGUUUCUUUCUAAAUCAAAGAACGACUUACAGAUAUGAGUACAUCGUUCUUUUUAUGCCAUAGUCCAACUAUGGUCUUACACAUGCAUUGCCAUGGCCCUGCCAUGGUCUUUCAUUAGUUAAUAUCAUAUACUAUCACAUUAAGCCAUUAUUUAUCUCAUGAAUAUUUAGUUCAUGCUUUCUAAUCACAUUUUCAUAUUCAAUUCACAUUUUCAAAUUAUAUUCCACAAUCACGUUUCUUUUCAAUGGCUCAACUGAUUCAUUUCGUUCAAUUUAACUUUUCAAUUAAUCAACCCUAUUAACAGACUCGGACUUUGACGGAUACAAUGAUCCAACCCAAACACACCAGUACAACAUAUUGUGCCUAAAACAGUACAUAGUACCUGAUUAGUAAUCAGUAAUGGUAGCAGUAACAGUAACAGUAACAGUAACAAUAUUCAACACACAAAGUGCUGAAUCUAUAACAGUAACGGUAACAGUAUUCGACACACAAAGUGUCGAAUUGGUAACAGUAACAGUAGUCGGCAUAUAAAUGCCUGAUUAGUAAGCCGGCAAAAACUUGUACUCUUCCAUAUCCUAUGGCAUGCCAACUAUAUCUGACUCAGCCCGACUAGUUAAUAGGGUAUUAAAUUCACUUUUCAAUACAAUUUCCAUCUUAAUUCAGUAUCAAUUAUAAUUCCUUAUUUCAAUCAAUUUCACAGUAUUGCAAUAAUUCAUUACUUCAGUAAUUUCACAGUUCAAUGCAGUACACAUAACAGUAUUCAGUAACUUCACAAUUCAAUUUAGUACUCAAAAACAAUAUUUAGUAUUCCAUAAUGCAGUUCAGUAUCAGUCUCACUUUCAAUACCCAAUCAUAAAUUUUCAUUUGAUUCAAUUUCACAUUUCAAUCGAUAUUUCAUUCAAUUUCGAUAAGCAAAUUCACUUCCAACAUCAGUAUCACAUAUCAAUUUCCUCUUUCUCAAUUCAAUUCCAAUAAAAUCCAUAUCAAUCACCAAUUUCAAUAUUCCAGUUCAAUACCACAAUAGUUCAAUAGUUCAAUUCAAACCAUUUCAAUUUCUAUUCAAUAAUCACAUUUCAAUUUCACUUUCUUAAUUCAAUAUUCAUCUCAAUUAGUCACAUAUAAUCACAGUUCAAUCUAAUUUCAUUCAAUUCAAUAUCAAUACUUAAUUUCAAUAAUCAUAUUCACUUGAAAUCAACUCCAUUCAAAACAAUGUUAUCAUACCAAAUUUCUUACCUUAUUUAUUUACCAUGCUUUUCAAUUAAAACACAAUAAUUAAUAAUAAUUAGAUUUUAAAUACAGUAAUACAAACUUAUUAGGCUAAAUUGUAGAAAUACUAAAAAUUUAGGGACAUUUUGGUAAUUUUUCAUUUUCCUCGAAUUUCCACCCAAUCUUGAUCUAAAUCAAUAUUUCAUUCAAUUUAUUAAUUAAAACAAUUCAUUUCAUGCAACUUGGUCUUUUUUGAAUUUUUACAAAAUUACCCUAAAAUUUUACUUUUAUUCAAUUUAGUCCUAGAACCUAAAACAUGUAAAUUAGCUAUUUUUUUUAAAUAAACUCAUAUUAGCUGAAUAUUCACAUAUAUUUUUCCUCCUCCUCCAUUCCAUUCCACAUCCUUGAUAUAUAACACACUCAAUUAUCAUUAUCCAAAAUUUCACUAUUUGCUCAUAUGUAAAUUCAAAGUUGUUUAUUUGAGUCAGAGUCACUAAAUUAUUUAUAACUUGAGGUACAGGACUCAAAAUUAAGAUCUGUUAAUUUUCCCUGAAACUAGACUCACAUAUCUUAUUACCAUAAAAUUUUUAGAAUUUUUGGUUUAUCAAAAUAUUACAUUUUAUUCAUUAAAGUCUCCCCUGUUUCACUGUUCAAUAAUUCCAACCACUCUUCACUAAAAAUUAAUUAUCUCAUAGUACAGAAUUCGUAUAAUGUUCUUGUUUGCUUCUUUUAAAAAUAGACUCAUUCAAGAUUUUAAACAUAUAAAUUUAGCCCAUAAUUAUUUUUUAAAAUUUUUUUAUGAUUUUCCAAAUUCAGAACAGGGGAGCCCGAAUUCAUUCUGACCUUAUCUCACAAAAUUUAUUAUAUCUCAUGAUUUAAAAUUCCAUUACUUACACCGUUUAUUUUAUAAGAAACUAGACUCAAUAAUAUUUAAUUUCAUAUUUUUUUCAUCUUCUAAUUCGAUUUUCAUGAUUUAUUGUGAUUUUUCAAAGUUAACCUACUGCUGCUGUCCAAAACUGUUUUAGUGCAAGAUGUUGAUUACUAAGUUUAUAAUUCUCUUAUUUCCUUCCUCUAUAAUAUUUCCCAUCACUUUCACUUAUUUCCUUUACUAACAUAACAAGAAUAUAGAGCUUUAUAUAAUGAAACUCUACAUUAACAUUAAUUUCCUACUUUUUCAAUAUUAUCAAACUCAAAAAUAUAUUGAAAUCUUGAUAUUCUUACAUUGUGUUAUUGAUUUCAAUCUUUAACUUGAUUUUCUCUCUCCUACAGCUUCUAUUUAUUGAAUCUAACUUGAUAUUCUAGCUCCCCAUAGUCUCCUUGUUGUCUUUCUCUCUUGAUGGCUAUGGAAAUUCUUUUGAUUUCUAGGUGAAAAUGGUAAAUUUUUUGUGAAAGGACCAAAUUGUAAAGAAAACAAAACUUUCUUUCUUUCUCUCUUCUUCUCACGUUGGAUGCAUGGGAAGAUGAUGAUUUCUUUCAUCCUUUUUAUAUUAAUAAUUUAAUAAUAAAAUAAUACUAAAAAUCUUAAUAAAAUAUUAAUUAAAUAACAUUUAUCUAAUUAAUUAAUUAAAAAUAUCACCAACAUAUCAUUACCUUCUAGAGUUCUCUCUCUAAUUGACCAUUUUGCCCUUCAUAAUAUUUUAAAAUUUCAACCUUGAGUCAUCACUUAAUUUGGUAAAAUUACAAUUUAGUCCCUUAAAAUUCUUCACCUUUUCAAUUUGGUCCUAAAUUUUCUUAAUUUCUAGAUUAUUCCACCCAUAAAAUAUUUGCACUAUUGGUCCUUCAAAUUUUUCAUAUUUACACUUUAUCCCCUCAAAUUUUGAGUAUUUACUUUUGGUCAACAAAACUUUUCUCACUUUUGCGAUUUAAUCCUUUCUUGAAUUAAUAUGUCAUAAUAUACUUCCCAGUGUUGCCAUAACUCAAAAUUUCCCUUUUUGUCACUUUAUUUCCUUAUUUUACUAUAUCAAGAAUAUCUACUUUCUUACUGUAGUAAUUUUCGGGGUAUUACAUAAAACACUUGAAUUAAACUGUAAACAUGUGUGUACCUACCAUGUAUAUAACAUGAAUCUUAUGCAUUAUAAAGCAAAUAGUGUCAAUAAAAUUUAGAAGGGCUAUUUAUUUUAACACAUUAUAUCCAAGCUGUCCACAUAAUAGGUACAUACAUAUUUAUAAUUUAAUCCAAUUGUUUUAAAUAUAUCUCAUGUCAAAUUUGAAUUGACUUUUUAAUGCUCAAACUAAUAGCUACAUUAACGGAAAAACUUAACUAAUACGAUUUUAAUACAUCAAGGGCUCAAUUAAAAUGUCUUGAAAUUUGAAAACCAUUUCAAAAUCAUAAUCAUAAUUUUGAUGUCAUCCGGCGAGUUUAUAAAUUUAGUGUUUGGACAAUUUAUUGUGGAUUUAUACAAUUUAGAUGUUAUUAAUUACAUUUCACGAAUAAUUUUUCUUCAAUUAAAUGUUUUAUAUUGCGUCGAUUGAGUCUUAUCUAGAUUGACAUCGAUAUUAUUGUCAGUACAAGAGAACGUGGAUUCGAGUGCGCUAAAACGUAUUAUCCUCUUAUUUAAAGGUCAGAGAGGGGUUAUGGGUAGUUUUAGGUAUUGUAUAAAAAAGAACAACUAUGAUAAAUAACCUAUAAUGAGACUAAUGUUAAAAAAAAUGGCUUAGAUCACAAAGUAUACUAUAAAUUUUUUUAUUGUGAUGAUAUUAAGAAUAAUAUUUUGGACAAAUCCCUAGAAUUUAUCUUUUUUAUUGAAAAUUAGUAUAAUUUUCGGACCAUUCUUUGCAUUCAGUUACUUAUUUAUUUGUGUUAACUUACAGAGCAAAAAUUUUAAGGUUAAAAUUUAUUUUAAGUCACUAUACACUUCAUAUAUUUGGAAUUUAGUCACCUUACUUUUAUUUUAGGAAUUUAGUCCCUUUAUUUUUUGGACUUAAUUAUUGCUAAAAUUCUUCUAUUAAAUUAUCUGACGUGAAAUUUUAAAUUUUUAAAAAAAUUCACUUAAUAAUAAUGUAACAAUAAAAAUAAUGCUGGAAAUAUAAAUUAGGAUUUUUUUUUUCUUAAAAACACUCAUUUGAACUUGUCAUGAUAAAAAAUAUAAUUUUUUUGUUGGAAUAGUGUUCUUAAAAAAAUUGAUGUUAACAUUUUAAUUGAAAAUUAACAAUAUUAACUAUUUAAACUAUUUAAUAAUAUUAUAAAUAUAUAAGAAUGAAAUUAUGUUAUAAAUUAAUUUAAAGAAAUUUUGGUAGGUUCAAACCUUUUAUAUAUAGGUAUAUAAAUUUAAAGAAUGGACUGUCAUGUUGCAUUAUGGUAAUCUUUAAUUCAGCAAAUUACAAAUUAAUAACAAAAUAUUUAAUAUAAUUUUUUGUAUAUUUUCAUUUUUUGCUACUUUUCAUCAUUUUUUAAUAGUUUUUUACAUGCUUUCUAAUUUUUUUUAUGCUUUCACAAUUAAGUUUAGGAAAUAAAAAUAAAUUUUUGGUAUAAAAAAUAUUACUUUUAGGUACUAAGAAAUUUGGUUGAGAUGAACAUACAAAAAUAUUGUUUUUGCAUACUAAUAAAUUUAUUUAUAUACAAGGAUAAAUUAACAAAUAUUGAAAAAUAAAUAAGUAAAUUAAUCAAAUUUUCAAGUUUCAAUUGGUAAUAAAUUGCUAAAUCGAAAAUUUGACACGUAUAAUUUUUAUUAUCAUGAAUUGUUACACGGGCUGUCACAUUAGUGUUUAGUAAAAUUUAGAGAUUUAAGAUCAAAGUGAUACAAAAAUUAAGAGUAAAAGUGAGAAAAUAAAUAAAGGUUAAAUUAAUUAUUAUAAAAAAACAUUAAAAAAAGAAAUCAAUUACAUAGUUGAAUAUAAACAUGAUUAUGACAAGGUUGCCACUACGGAGAAGUCUAUGUAAUUGUCUGAAUUCCUUGUAGUUUGGUGACAUCCAUAAGCGGAUGACUCCGAAAAGUAGGGCAAAGGGGAUAGCAGCGGUUACAUUGGCAAGAAUAUAAUUAACGUCUACCCAAAACGACGAGGGUGAUAUUAUUGUCAUCGAAUAAAAGUAGGAGACGCUCAGAUAAUAAAGCGGGAUCAGGAGUAAACGAGGAACAUUGGAGAGGAGAAAAACUGUUAGAAGAACCGGCAAGCCAUAUGCUAUAAGAUUAUAAACCCAAAACCCAUAAUACAUGUCGGGAUUCAUCACUGUUGUACCGGUUUUCCUUGUUUCUUCACCCAACAGGUGUUUGAAUCUGGAUUUAUUGUAAUUGUCGUCUAAGAUUUGAAGAGUAUUUGAGUUGGUGGUGGGGAUACUGUUAUUAUCACCUUGCCAAACACCUCUCGGUGGGCUUAAAGAUGAUUGGUAAACUGCUGUUAUAACUAGCGUCGCAACCACCAACGUUGCGUUGAUCAUGUCCCCCGACAACCCGUUUCUUGCACGAACCAACAUUGUUAAUCUUCUUUUAUGCCAAUGGGUUCCUUUCUUAAUGUGUUUAAUCUUGGUGGCGGUGGCGUCACUCAUGUUCAAACCUCUUCUUUCGACCUUUUCUAUGAUUUCUCGACUUGUUAAACCAUCUGAGUUCUUAGCUGUUACGUCUAAGUAUUUCCCGACAUAUAAUAACAUUUUUAGUGCCUGCGUAAUUAAUAUAUUAUCACACUAUUAGAUAAAUAUAUCAACAGCUAGCAUAUAUAUAUAUAUAUAUAAAGGGAAAUUAGUAUACCUGGUGUUGUUCCUUUAUAGCUGCAAUGUGUAACACAGUGUUGCCAUCAUCAUCUCUCCAAUUGAUAACCUUCUUUUCCAAUUCAUUGGCUCCUCUACGACGAUUACUUUGAAGCCAUCCGGUUAAGAGAUUAAACGCUUCGAGGUGAUCGUUUUUCAAAGCAAGAUGUAACGCAGUCUCGUCUCGAACCGUCACAUCUUCAAUGCAUUCAGGGCAAGCUUCGAGGAAGUGGAAUAAAAGAUUAGAGUUCCCCAUUGCGGCUGCACAAUGGAAAGGAGUCAUCCCUUCCCUUCCUUUGACUCGAACCAGAUCUUUAUCGGUCUUCAAGAGUCGAAGCAGUAGCUCGGUGUGGCGGUUUCUGAAGGCCAAGUGCAUGGGGCUAAAUCCAUCUUGGCUUAGCUUCCUAGCAAACGAAGGCUUCAAGUUCAUCAUCUCCAUUGCCAGCUUAAUUUGGCCUUCAGUUGCAGCUAUGUGAAGUGGAGUAUCAAUGAAAGGAAUGUGGUCAAUGCGCUCCAACAUGUACGGAUCCUUUUGAAUUAAAGCAUAAAAGGCAUCAAUAUUUCCUGUUGCAGCUGCUUCUCUCAAGCUAUCAUUCAUGCUCAUCUCCUUGACUUGUAAAAUAACAUACCACCAAUGAUCCUUAUUUAAAACAUUAUAAAGUACGUCCUAAUUGCUUGACUUUUACGUAAAGAGUGAUUUAAAGAAUAGAAUAAAUUAAAUAUUAAGCAAGGAAUAGAAUAAAUUACUCUUAGAAGUAAAAGUUGUUUGUAUCCACCGCCACAAUUACUCUUCCAUAGUGAGAAAGAGUAGAAUAACACAGGUAAUAGAUUUUAUUCUAUUUUUAUUUUUAGAAAUUUAACUUCUUUAUUUUUUAAAUUUAAUUGUUAUUUUUUUUUGUUAUAUUUAGGUUCGUUACAACUCUAAAUUUUUGUUUCAUUGCUACUAAGUGAAUAAUUUUCUUUUUAUUUCAAAAUGUCACGAUAAUGAAUUUAACAGAAAAAAUAUAGUUAGAGUUAACAAUUAGACUUGAAUUUUGAAAUCUAAAAUAUAGAAAGACUAAAUUUUUUAAAAUAAAAAUAGAGGCAUUAAACUAUAAAUAUAUAAAGAUUACAGUGAUUCAGAGCAUAUUUUAACUCAAAUCCAACUCUUUUAUUAUUAUUAUUAUUAUGAAAUUAGAUUUACGUUUCCAAAGAGUGAAUUUGAUAAUUUUAUUAACUAUGCAGGCACUAAAGCUGUUGUUAUAUUCCAAUGUUGGGUUACAUGUAACAGCUAAGAACUCGGAAGGUUUGAUGGCUCGAGAAAUCAUAGAAAAUGUUGAAAGAAAAGGCUUGAGCAUGAGUGGUGAAGAUGAUGACAAGAUUAAGCGCAUUAAGAAAAAACUUGAUACCCUUGAACUGAUAUUAGUAAUGUUAAUUCGUGCAAGGAAUGGAUUGUCGGAGAACAUGAUCAACGCAACGCUGGUGACUGUGGCACUGGUUAUAACAGCAAUCUACCAAUCAUCUUUAAGCCCACCCAGAGGUGUUUGGCAAGUUGAUAACAACAGUAUCCCCACCACCACCUCAAACGUUACUACUACUGCUCUUCAAAUCUUUGACGACAAUUACAAUAACUCCAGAUUCAAACACCUGUUGGGUCAAGAAUCAAGGAAAACAGGUACAACAAUCAUGAAUCCCGACUUGUAUUCAAUGUUUUGGGUUUGUAAUCUCCUGACAUUUGAGCUUCCGCUCCUCUCCAAUGUUCCUUCUUUUCUUCUCAUCCCGCUUUAUUAUCUAAGCGUCUCCUACUUUUACUCGAUGACACUAAUAUCCCCGUCGUCGUUCUGGGAAAACGUCAAUUAUAUUCUCACGUGGUUAGCCAUUCUUUUCCCACUUCGCUUACUUCGCUUAAUCAUACGACCACUUAUGUCACCAGCUUACAAGGAGUACAUACGCUUCCGUAGAGCUAUUCUUAGAGCCAACAAAGUCGGGAUCAUCCGACCCUUGCUAAGGGGUAAUCUAGUUGAUAUUAUAUUAUGUCCUUGAUUUUUUUUAAUUGAACUUCUUUUUCUUUUUGUUUAUGUAAUUGCUUGGGAUAAAUUUAAUAAAUAAAAUUACAUCAAUAGUCUUUUAAUUUUGUUUGUACUUAUGUUUCAAUCACUAAAUUUUUAAAAAUUAUAAAUUUAUUAUUAAUGUGAUCGGAUUGUUUUUAGAAUAACACGGGUUUGAUGUGAAACUUUAAAUAUGUCAUAUAUGUUUAAAAAAAAUUCCUUUCUCUCUUUUUUCGGAUAUUAAAAUAUUUCUUCUUCUCACCUUAUCCUAUCUUCUCUUUUUUCUUUCUCCACCAUUAAUGCUCUCACCACCUUACUAUUGCCAGUACUCACCACUAUCAACAAUUUCACCAUCUCACCACAACCAAACAUGAACCAACAACCGACUUUACCCAUAAUUAUACUCAUAAGGUGUUUUUCUCUUCCCUUUAUGAAUAUAAUUGGUUCGAUUUUUUGGUUCAAAGAAGGUUCAAACAAUCAACACUCAAACAGUCAAUAGACUGUCGGAUAGAUCACGUGCAAAACCAACCUAACCUAUGAGUAUAUCCAGAAGAGAAAAGUUAUACAAGUCCAACCCCCCACAAGUUCCCAGUCGGCUCAUCCCAUUGACCUUUCCACACCUUCGAAUUGAUUGGUGCAAUUGGAAUUGCAUUGCCAAAUGUAACACAUGAAGCUCAAGUGCUGACCAUCUACUAGAGGUGGACCAAGGCCCUCGAAGAGCCACCAACGUUGACAUCGCCUCCAGACUUGAUUGUUAUUAUUAUAUUCUUUUCAAAUUAUUUUAGUUGUUGUUUAGAAUGGAUCGUGACUAAAUUUUAUUAUGUAAAUAAAGUUUUGAAAAUUAUAUUGAACUUAGGAAGAAGUUAAAUUAUUCAAGUGAAAAAACGUUAUUUUGUAAUAGUGCAUUUGAUUGUAAAAUCUUUUUGUUCUAAUUUUAUAGACUAAAUUCUCAGGAGGAUAAUUUAGCAGUGAUAGAUCUAGUCUUCAAGGUACAAGAGUAAAGAUUUUAAACUGGGAUGUGUUAGAAUUAUGUUCAAUGAUUGUAAUUGUUGAAAGAUAGUGGAUUCUCCUCAUUGAAUUAGGCAUGCAUAGAGAAAUUGAAUUACGUAACCAACCUUGUUAUCCUCUAUUUUAAUUUUGGUAUCUCAAUGCUUGCAGGAGUACGCACUUUUGCAAUCAUUUUUGCUCGUAAUUGCAUAAAUAACAUUAAUAUCUUUUUUUUGUCAUUGUUUCUUUUGAAUGGUAUGAUGAAAUAACUUUGUAUAACUUUAAAAUGUAAAUUUGAGGAUUUUAGAUCUUUUUGAUGUUUUUAGAUUUUUUUAAAUUGUUUUUUUAGAGUUAUUGUUUAAAAAUCUUAAAAGUAUUAAAAUAAAUCAUAUAAAAACAUGUUUAUAAUUCAUAUUUUUCACAAUGAACUAAUAAUUUGAUCAUACUUUAUUCUAAUUAUAAGGAUGUGAUUGGACAGCAUAUAAUAAUUAGAUGGAAGUGUAAUUAUUAAUGUAGUAACUAAUAAUGACACCCUCUUAUACUUCUAAAUCCCUAAAUAUGUUUAAUUGAUAGAGUUUAAUUAUAUCCUAAUUCUUUAUAUUGUUUUUUGUAAUACAAAUUAUAAUUAAAUAACUAAAUACUUUUAAAUUCUAUAAUCAAACCAUCAUAUGAUAUGUUAAUUAAGAAAGUAUUCAACAAUACAAUUAUAAAUAAAAAUAACAUAAAAAAUAUUGUAUACAAUUUUAUCAAAUUGCUGUGGCAUUCUAUAUUUGUUGGGCUAUUUUCUUAGUAACAUUAAGCAUAUACGUAAGUCAUUUGCUAAGUAUAGAUAAUUAAUCAUAAAUAAUAUGUAUCAGAUUUUAAAUUAUUUAAACAAAAUUAGUAAAAUAACAAUAAUUAUAUUUUAAAAAUAUAUGUUAUAAAAUUAAAAUACUAUUAUUAUUGAAUAGAAAAACUUAAACUAGAAUCGUGUACUGGUGUAUUUGGAAAGUCAUGAUAUAAUUAGAUUUAAGCGUAAUUGUCUGUAAUUAGUUGCAUAAUUUCCACAAUUCUCACCCUCUCUAGGAAUUGAAAGAGUGUAAUUGACACCUUGGCUACCAAAAUUUGAAACAACAGUGACAGACCAAAUCCGUUACAGAUGUUGCGACUCCAUCACUGUUUCCAUUUGGUGACGGUUUGUGAUGGAUUUUUGUGACAUCGAUACCCCUCACUAGUAAAGUGUAUCAGUGAGUGUAUGAUGGAAGUAUCAUCACAAUUUUUGCAUAUUAUUUUUGAGUUUGCGAUAGUAUAUAAAAUAUCACCUCGUUCCGUCACAAAUUAUAAAUUCUGUCACUAACCAACCAUAACCUACUACAAAUGGGUUGGAAACCAGCAGAAAGAAAAUUAUAUUUCAUUUUCCAUAAAUAGAUUUAUUUGUUGUUUAUGGAGCCACUAGGAGGGGCGGCGGCGGAGGAGGAGUCGCCUAUUGUAGUUUUUAUAAUAAUUCAACACAUUCAGUCUAAUAAGCAAAAAUAAUAAUAUAAUAAUUUAAAGAAGAGCAAAACAAAAUCCACACCCAAUGAAAAAAAUCGCUUCUUUCUUUCUCCUUCGAAGAUUCCAAGCAAGUAUCCAGACAUUAAAAACAAAAGCCAAUAUAUAAUAAAAACAAAAAGUAUGGAUAUUGCUCCAAGUCAUCAACUUUGAAUAUAAAUCCCAUAAUAUUUACUUUUUUUAGGUAUACUUUCUAUGGCAAUGGGAAUGGGGCCAAGAAAGAGCUAUAUAUAUCCUUUUUUGGGGGUCAAAUCAAUCUGAAUUACUAUGUUUAUUUUACAAUAUUAUAUUUAUCUCCAAAUUUUUUAAAUACAACGAUUGAAAAAGUGUAGAAAAUAAUUAAUUUAAAAAAAGAAAAAGAAAAGAAGUAGCAAAUGUUGUAAAUGUUCCAUAACUUCAAUUAUUUACCUGAAAAUUUGAUACCUUAUGUCAACAUUUGUUUUAUGAUCAAUAUAUAUCAAUACUUUUUAAAAUUAAAAUAUUCACCAAAGUGAUAAGAAUAUAUAUAAUCCAAAAUUUUAAACAUUUUUAUUUUCAAACUCAAUAAAUAAUAUAUUUUAAGCUAUUUUGUUAAUACUAAUUUCUUGAUAAAUAUGUUUUUAAAUUAAUUACAUUGAAAUAAUAGUUGGUUUAGUUUUUAAAUUCCACAAGCAAGAUUAAGGUUGCCUGUGAAAUAAAAAAUUAUUUUAAAAAAGAGACAUUUGACAAUUUUUAAGGUUGCUAGUGAUGGAAAAUCAAUCACACCACGUUUUUUUAAUUAAGUGUUAUAGCCAGUUUGUUGACUCCUAUUUUUUAGCAAGACUGUUAGACAAAUAAGUUUGUUUAAUCUUUAUGGGACUAUUCUGUUUUCAUUAGUCUGUUAGUAGAAAAUUUUACUUCCACGAUUUAAUUUCUCUGUAAACCUAUAUAAAGGCAUAAUUGCUGAAGUUAAUGAUAGUGAAUUGAUUUUGAUUAUUUUCCUCUCGUGUUAAUUAUUCCUUUAAAGUUUGUCAUCGGCGAUAUCAGAGCCAGGUUUAGAGUGUUUUGUGUUGUGUUCCAGAUACGAUGUCACAACAUUCGAGUGAAUCCGAUAGAUUUGUUCAACCUACUAUUCCUCGCUUUGAUGGUCAUUAUGAUCAUUGGAGCAUGUUGAUGAAAAAUUUCUUAAGGUCAAAAGAAUAAUGGUCUGUCGUUGAGGAUGGAAUCCAAGAGCUAGAAGUUGGAACCAGUUUGACAGAUACACAGAAGAUGGAGACUAAAUUCCUAGAAAUAAAAAUAUAUGGACUAAUUUUUAAAUUUAUGAAAAGUACAAGGACUUAUGACAUAUUUUAACAAUUUAUUAUGUUUAUACUAUAAUUUAAUUUGAAUAUUUGUUAAUGCCAAAAGGAUAAUAAUAACAUGACAUAAUAAUGAUAAUGAUGAUGAUGUGUGAAAAUAAAAAUACUUCACAUUUAAAUUGAUUAUAAUUAUAAUUUAUAUAUUUUAUAUAUCAUAAUAUUAAUGAAAUUGAGUUUAUAUAUUCUAUAUAUUAUAAUAUUAACAAUUUGAGUUUUUUAGUAUUUCUUAUGCAUUUAGUUUUGCUUUUGGAAGUGGUUUCAGGGAUGGUUUUGACAUCGUCCACUCCAGUUUAGUGGAUGUUCGAUUCUUUUGCCAAUUGUGUCUACUACUUAAGAUCAUCCGAGGUUAAUUUUCUCAUAGUGUUAAAUGUUUGCAAUUGCUCCAAAUAAUCAUACUUGAGUUGUGAUGGAGACGAUUGCUAACUUGCUAUAUAUUAUCGAUUUUAUAGCAUAAUAUUUAAAAGUAAUUUUUUACCGCCAUACUAAAAAUUUUAAAUAUUUUAAGAGUAAAUUUUUUUUAAGCGAAAAUGCUUCGAAAUUAUAUUAAAGUGAGAAAUGGGGAGUGGGAGUCAAGAUAUUGAUGUCUGUAAUAGGCGGCCAUAGAUUCAUAUCCGUCGUUAGAUAUAAAUAUAUUAAUCAUUUUUUAAAAUAUUCGAUAUUUUUAUGCAAUAUAAAUAUACCCUUGAGGGAUUAGUUUAGUGUAAGAUUGAGUUAAAUCAGUUGAGGUUUCAAAUAAGGAUAGUCAGUUUGCAACUCUCCUAAUUUCUUCAUCAUUUAAAGAAAGAAACAAAAGCAUGGAUCCAAGCUUGAGAGAAGUAGCUGGAACAGGAAAUAUUGAUGCCUUGUACUCUCUAAUUGGAGAGGAUCCAUACAUGCUGGAGCAUAUUGAUCAGAUUCCUUUCAUCGAUACUCCACUUCACAUAGCAGCAAAUAAAGGCCAAAUUAAGUUUGCAAUGGAGAUUAUGAACUUGAAGCCUUCGUUUGGUCGGAAGCUAAACCAAGAUGGGUUUAGCCCCAUGCACUUGGCCUUCAAAAUGGGGCAUACCAAGCUAGUGCUUCGACUGUUGAAGACCGAUAAAGACCUGGUUCGCGUCAAAGGAAGGGAAGGGAUGACCCCUUUCCAUUGUGCAGCUGCAGCGGGGAACUCUAAUCUUUUAUUCCAGCUCCUUGAAACUUGCCCUGAAUGCGUUGAGGAUGUCACGGUUCGUGACGAGACUGCAUUACAUCUUGCUCUGAAAAACGACCACACCGACGCUUUUAAUUUCUUACUUGGAUGGCUUCGAAAGAACCGUCGUGGAGGAGGCAAGGAUUUGGAAAGAAAGGUUGUGAAUUGGAGAGAUGAUGAUGACAACACUGCGUUGCACAUUGCAGCUACAAAGCAACAACACCAGGUAUAGAUGCAUUAUAAUGAUAAGUUGCGUAUAUUCCUUUGAUAAUCUUAUUAAUGACUGUUUAUAAUAUUCUACGCAGGCCGUGCAACUGUUGUUGGAUUCCUUUUAUGGGUUAGAUGUAAAAGCUAAGAACUCGGAAGGCUUGACAGCUCGAGAAAUCAUAGAAAAUGUUGGGAGACAAGGGUUGAACAUGAGUAGCGCCGAAGACGAUGAUAGGACCACCGCCAAGAUUAAGCGCAUUAAGAAAAGAACUAGUCGGUCUGAAAGAGCAUUAGUAAAGUUGAUUCGUACAAAGAAUGGGUUGUCGGAGAACAUGAUCAACGCAACACUGGUGGUAGCGGCGCUGGUCAUAACAGCGAUCUACCAAUCAUCUUUAAGCCCACCGAGAGGUCUUUGGCAAGGUGAUAACACUAGUAACCCCACCACCACCUCAAACCUUACUACUACCACUAAAUUUAAACUCUUUAACGACAAUUACGCUGAAAAACUUUCUAAACAUGUGUUGGGUGAAGAAACAAUGAAAACUGGUACGGCAAUCAUGAAUCCCAACUUGUUUUUAGGGUUUUGGUUAUUCAAUUUUAUAGCAUUUGGGCUUCCGGUUCUUCUAACCGUUUUCCUUUUAUACGAUGUAGCUCGUAUUCUUCUUCUCCCGCUUUAUUUUCUAUCCGUCUCCUACUUUAACUGCAUGACAAUAAUAUCUCCGUCCAUGUUUUGGGCAAACCUCAACUUUGUUGUCAUGUGGGCAGCCAUUAUUCUCCCGUCUGUCUUUGUUUUUGGAGGCGUAUGGUUAUGCAUGCUGCCAAAGUACCGGGAAAUCAGACAAAUGCGCAGACGUGUCCGCAAUGACAAUAAUAUCGGAAUAAUUCAGUACUUGCGAAUGUCAGUCUAACUUAUAUAUUAUAUUAUGUACCCUUUUCCAUUUUCUUUGUAUUAAUAUCUUUUCUUUUUGAAAAAAAAAAAACACUAUGUAAUUGCUUUGGAUAAAUUUAAUAGAAAUAAGAUUACCUUUCCCGACAGAUAUUUUUGAAGUAUCGUUUGUUCAAAAUCAACUUAUUUCUAAAUGUGUUAAUAUUAUUUUCGAGUUAUUAAUUAAAAAUAUCUUUAACAUAAAGAUAUAUGUAAUAUAUAUAUAUUUUUAUUAUUUUGUUUAUAUAAUAAAAGAGUUAUUGAUUAAAAAGAUGAAUUAAAAAAUUAAAAAAUAAUAUAUUUAUUAAUUAAAAAGUACUAUUUUUUAAAAUAAUAUGAAAUAAAAAUACAAAUAUGAGUAAGAGAUAAAUUAAAACCGAGACUCAAAAAUAAAAUGACUAACAUUUAAUUAUUUGACCAAAUGAAUUAAUGUGUCAAGUUAUUGAAGAAAAUACAUUUUAUCCCCACAUUUCUUUCUCCAAAAUUAAUCUAUUUCUACAAAUAUUAAAAAAAUCAACCUUAACACUAAUUAUUUUCUAAAAAGGACAUACGUUGCGAGUAUGCCUUAAACCUAGGAAGGGUGGCUGUGGUGCGCCACACUUUCUAACGCAAAUAAUAAUAAUAAUAAUAAUACAUUAAUCUAAAUUACAUGAGAGUUUGGUGUCCCCUUUUCUUAAUUCUAAACAAUAAAAUCUCAAAAAUAAGAAUAAUAAAAUAAAAUAAAAUAAUUGUAUUUAUAUAGAAAUGAUAAAUUAAGUAAAAUAAAUAAUAAAAAUAUGUCAAUUAACUAAUUUCACUAUCAUUUAAAUAUAUUUAUCUUUUGAAAAAUACUUUUUCUUUUUUAAACAAAGGGUGGACAUCAUCAAAAAUAACUUAGAAAAGUAGAAAUUGUAGCCGUACUAGAACAUUUUUCAUCUAAACAUCAGACUAUUAAAAUGCUGAAAAACCUCCAAAUUUACCGUUCUCUACAUCCAUUACUAAUCGUAGACGGUGACAAAGACAUUCGACAGAUGAUAAGCAUAAAAAAAAUACUCUUUUAACUACAAUACUAAAAGCGUCCGCUAACCAUUUUUCAAUUAAGAUAUUAAUCAAGACGGAUUAAUUUAGUGUUAAAUAGAGUAAGUCUAGGGGUGGGUUUGGAUGGGUGAUUGGGUGCGGUGCGGUGCGUUUAGUUUACUUUUUGUCUCACGCUACAGUAUCGCUACAGUAUCUAAUCUCACCGCCACCGCUGUUUUUACACUAACCUCAAAUAAACCCACCGCCCAUCCAAACUCACCCUAGACUAAGUCCGUGGAUGAAUUUCCGCAUCUUUUUUUAGGCAUUAAAUUGAGAGCCAAUCAGAGCCUUCCCCUUACUACCAAUCUAUAAAAAAUUGGAUCUUUGGUUUGAUUUUAUCAAUAAAAGAAAUUCCUUCCUCGGUUUCUUAAAUUUGAUAACUUUUAUCAUUAUCAUUAUUUUAUUAUAUAAAAUAAUUUUGUUCACUUUUCAUCAAUAAUGAGAUCAAUUGUUUCGCUAAUAGAAUAGAAAAUAGAUAGUUACUCAAUAUUAUAAUGGUACCAUGUGUUUUUAUGUUUUUAAUUUUUAAUAUAAUUAAUGUUAUAACCCUCCUUAUGAAGCUAGUUAAUGUAAAGGAUAAUAAUUCUAAUUAUCUGUGCUUAAAAUUAAUUCAGUUGUGCUUUCAAUCAAUGUCUGAUUUUGAUAUUGCAAGAGGUGUCCAGCUAUGUGGUGAGAUCUUGAAGGUGUGUCUUUGUAACAACUUGAGAAGCUUUUUGGAUUUUUUUCUUCUUCUUUUAGGUUUAUUAUUAGUAAAUGAUUUUUUGCUGCGAAAAAUUAGCUUAAAAACAAAAUAUAAAAAUGAUAGGAAAUAUAUGUUAAUUUUAUACAACGACAAUUAAUGACAUUGCAAUAUUACUUAACAACAUGAACAAUCCCCACCAUCGUAUUGUCAUUCCCAAGUAAUGGCGUAUUCUCUUUACUAGGAAAAUAUCCCUCCUAACGCUGGCCGAAAUUGGUUGAAACAUUAUGCAGCUAAUUUGGUAAGAUCAUGGACGUGUUUAUUGCAUCAAAAAGAAAUAGAAGAGGUCGUCGGUUUUGUUUCGUUAGGUAUGGUAGGCUGGAAGAAGCAAAGAGAGCAUUGUGGAGUCUAGAUGGAAGGUGGUUCUCUAAUCAUAGAUUGACGGUCAGUAUGGCGAAGUUUAAACCUAGAGAUGCUUUGUGGAGGAAGGCAAAUGGGAGAGAGGUCAGACAACAUACAUAGAAUAUGGAAAGAAGAUGUGUUGAAGGAAAUACGGGACCGCAUGUAGAGAAGAAUGCAAGUGAGAUUAUGGCAAAUAAUAAACAACAUGAAGAAAAUGACCCAAUCAAGUUGGACGAGAUGGUGGAAGAUUUAUGAAUUUCCAGAAAAGAUAAGAGAACAAAGUAGUAGAGGGAGCCAUUGAUGGAGAGAACUUGAAGUGGCUUGAAAAAUGUAUUGUGGGUAGAAUGAGAAACAAUGCUACUGUGGGGUUAUGGGGUGAUGCUGGAAUUUAUAAAAUUGGAGUCCAAAGAUCAUCGGGUAAUGAUUGGUAUGAAUUGGAAGCCAAUGAAUGGGGAGAUGUUUUGCAAGUGUUCAGAAAGUUGAACGGUGGACAACGAAGAUGAAAGAUUAAGGUGGUUAUCCUGUUACGAGAUUCCAAUACAUGCUUGGUCUUCGAAGAUUUUGACGUACUGUAUAGGCGGCCACCGAUUUAUAUACCUCGUCAUAUAUAGAUAUAUUAAUCAUUUCUUAAAAUAUUCGAUAUUUAUAUUCAAUAUAAAUCUACCCUUGACGGAUUAAUUAGUUUAGUGUAAGCCUGGUUUAAAUCAGUUGAGGUUUCAAAUAAGGAUAGUCAGUUUGCAACUCUCCUAAUUUUUUCAUCAUUUAAAGAAAGAAACAAAAGCAUGGAUCCAAGCUUGAGAGAAGUAGCUGGAACAGGAGAUACUGAUGCCUUGUACGCUCUAAUUCGAAAGGAUCCGUACAUGUUGGAGCAUAUUGAUCAGAUUCCUUUCAUCGAUACUCCACUUCACAUAGCAGCAAAUGAAGGUCAAAUUAAGUUUGCAAUGGAGAUGAUCAACUUGAAGCCUUCGUUUGGUCGGAAGCUAAACCAAGACGGGUUUAGCCCCAUGCACUUGGCCCUCAAAAUGGGGCAUACCAAGCUAGUGCUUCGACUGUUGAAGACCGAUAAAGACCUGGUUCGCGUCAAAGGAAGGGAAGGGAUGACCCCUUUCCAUUGUGCAGCUGCAGUGGGGAACUCUAAUCUUUUAUUCCACUUCCUUGAAACUUGCCCUGAAUAAGUUGAGGAUGUCACGGUUCGUAACGAGACUGCAUUACAUCUUGCUCUGAAAAACGACCACACAGACGCUUUUAAUCUCUUACAUGGAUGGCUUCGAAAGAACCGUCGAGGAGGAGGCAAUGGUUUGGAAAGAAAGGUUGUGAAUUGGAGAGAUGAUGAUGACAACACUGUGUUGCACAUUGCAGCUACAAAUCAACAACAUCAGGUAUAUAUAUGCAAUAUAAUGAUAAGUUGCGUUCCUUUGAUCAUUUUAUUAAUGACUAUUUAUAAUAUUCUACGCAGGCAGUACAACUGUUGUUGGAUUCCUUUUAUGGGUUAGAUGCAAACGCUAAGAAUUCGGAAGGCUUGACAGCUCGAGAAAUCAUAGAAAGGGUUGAAAGACAAGGGUUGAACAUGAGUGGCGCCGAAGACGAUGAUAUCUCCACCGCCAAGAUUGAGCGCAUUAAGAAAAGAACUAGUAGGUCUGAAAGAGCAUUAGUAAAGUUGAUUCGUGCAAGGAAUGGGUUGUCAGAGAACAUGCUCAACGCAACACUGGUGGUAGCGGCGCUGGUCAUUACAGCAAUCUACCAGUCAUCUUUAAGCCCACCAAGAGGUCUUUGGCAAGGUGAUAACACUAGUAUCCCCACCACCAACUCAAACCUUACUACUACUACUAAAUUUAAACUCUUUAACGACAAUUACAGUGAGUAUCGUUUUAAAUUUCUGUUGGGUGAAGAAACAAGGAAAACUGGUACUGCAGUCAUGAAUCCCAACUUGUUUUUAGGGUUUUGGUUUUUCAAUUUUAUAGCAUUUGGGCUUCCAGUUCUUCUAACCGUUUUGCUUUUAUCCAAUGUACCUAGUAUUCUUCUCAUCCCGCUUUAUUAUCUAUCUGUCUCCUACUUCAACUGCAUGACAAUAGUAUCUCCUUCCACGUUUUGGGCAAACCUCAACUUUGUUGUCAUGCGGACAGCCAUUCUUCUCCCGUUGCUCUUAGUUGUUAGAAGCGUAUGGUUAUCGAAGCAACCAAAGUACAGGGAAAUCAGACAAUUACGUAGACUUUUCCGCAAGUAGAAUAAUGUUGGAAUCAUUCAACGGUUGCGAAUGUCAAUGUAGUUUAUAUGUUCUCUUAUGUUAUGUACUUUUUUCCAUUUUCUCUGGAUUAUCGAUAAAAAAUUUAUGUAAUUGCUUUGGAUAAAUUUAAUAAAUAAGAUUACUGUCGAAACCGCUUUUUUGAAAAAAAAAAAUUUGGUUGUCGACUUUAAAAAUAAAACUGGAGUCGUCACCGAUCCUUUAUUAAGGUGCGAUCGGCCCACCUUAAAAAUUAUUUUGGCCUACGAAUUUUGAGAAAACGAGUUCGGGAGUCAGUUACGCACGAGGAAGUGUUAGCACCCUCGUAACGCCCAAAAUCGGUACCAAAUUGAUUAUUUGAUGUCUUAGUGUCGAAGGUUAAAAAGAUUUUUAAAACAACUCAAAUGAUGAAAUCUGAAAAGGAUACUCAAUUGUUCAAGUCAUGUAAAGAAAUCGAGUCCCAAUACGUUAGGGUACAAUUUCUCAAAAUUCUCGAACUUUGAAUAUCACUUUUAUUUUAUGCGAAAAUUUUCAUUUUGGGAAAGUAACAUGCCACACCCAAUACGUUAGGACACGACAAGUUAAGUUCCCAAAAAUGAUUUUUAUUCUCAUGCAUUUUGAAUAAAGAAUAUUCCCAGCUUUUUAAGAUUGACAAAGAAAAUCAGAACCCAAUGCGUUAGGGCUCAAUUUUCCUCGGAAAUCCCAAACUUCGAAUAAUGCUUUUAUUAAAAAAACCUUUGAAUCAUGAAAAUAACUUUGAUAUACGGUUAAAACCAAAAUAUAUUUUCAAAAGGGUACAUUGAAAAGUUAAUGUACAAUAUGAUACAAAACUUCAAUUUAAAAUACAUGUAUAUAUGUGUCUUUUCAAAAUAUAAGUAUGAGACAUAAAUAAAUUUUGAAAACGUGUAUGAGCAUAUAUUAAAACGGGUAUAUAUAAGUAUACGUAUAUAUAAAAAAAAUGAAAUAUAUAAAACAAAACAAAAACCUAUUAUAAUUUUCUAAGAAAAUAUGCAUGUAUGUAUAUGUAUGCGAAAUUUAUGAAAAUAAGAUAAAAGUAUAAAAAUAUGUACAUGUGUAUAUAUUUACAAAAAAGUAUACAUAUAAAAUAUAAAGUAUAUAUAAAAAGUAAAUAACAAAAAUAAAAAAAACAUAGGUAUAAAAUAUAUGCAUUUAUUUAUAAAACUUUAAUAUAUAUAUAUAUACCUAUAUAAAAAAAACCCAUAUGUAUAUUAUAUAUAAAAAAACUAUGCGUAUAUAUAUAUGUAUAGAAAAUAUGAUAAUAAUCAAUAAUAAUAACUAAUAUAAUAAAAAUAAUUAAUUUUAAUGAUAAAAUAAUUAAUAACAAGGGACCCAAAUUGAAACUACAGGAAACUUUCAGGUAAACAUUUAAAAUAAUAAAAGCUGAAGACUAAUUUGUAGUGCCCUGGAAACAUCAGGGAGUAAACGAGCAAAUAUACCAGCCCCUUAUACGCAGCGUUUUCAUGUUGGACCAAAUUGAAACAGGAAACAGACGUGCGGUCAAAAUUAAAAAUAAAAAAAAUUGUAUUGAAGGUGACUCAAAAACAGAGGGACCAGUUGCGCAAAUUCUCCAUUCAGGGCCAGAACGCGCGGACCCUGCUUGCGGGUCGGGUCGACGCGCGGAUCUGGCCCCUUGCAAAACGGCGCCGUUUCACUCUUAUUAUUUAAAACAAUUUUCUUCUUCUUUUUUUCUAAAAUCUGUAGCCAACAAACAAAAAAACUUUUAACCCUCUGCUAGGUUUUUUUUAUUUAAAAAAACUCCUUUUGUUUUUGCGCCGUCGCUCGUCGGCCACCGGAGCUCCGAUGACGGCAGAGAUGGUAGCAAACGGCGGCCCGAACACAGAGGUAAACUCCUCUUCACUCUCUUCUCUUUAUAAAUCAACAGUAAACAUGGAAGAAAAAAAAUGAACGCCGAAAAAAAAACCACCUUUAUAUUCAAGAAAAGUUUGUAUUUUCCUUUCUUUUUCUCUGUAUUUUUCAGUGUUUUUGUGUGCACUCCUUUACACCGAAAAUCCCCCCUUUAUUCUCUUUACAAAUCUGUUUAUAUAUAACCGAAAAAUAUAAAAAAAUGCAAAAUCAAAGAAAUAUUUUCUGUUAUUGUUGCACUUUCUGCCAUUUUCCAGUUUUUUCUCGCAGGUAUGGGCACUGUUGGGGAGUGCUCACGCUCGUGGAGGCGCAAAUCGCGCGGAGGGAGGACUCUGGCCCGCAUUGUGCGGCGGCUGGAGUUGCUGGAGGCUGCCAUUAGGGUUUGGGGUAUGGGGGUUGCUAGUUGGGCCAGGUUUAGGGUUAUUGGGCCUGUAUAUUUGGUUUUUUAGUGGGCCGGACAAUUUGGGCUUGUACAGUUGCCCCUCUUUGCUGGUUGUCGUAUAACGGGAACAGAGCAAAGACUACAAGGCCCAAUUGUGCCCGGUCUUCCUGAGUCUUAACUUCUUCCAUGCCUCUCUUCUUUAGGUAGCCUCAUUCAUUCCUACUGCAUUUUCAGAGGUAUAGGAACUAGCUUCAAUCCACUCCACCGCAAUGUCAGGGAGAUAGGCUUCGUACGUUUUAGCUUCUCAAAAAGAACAAAAUUUGCUAUCUUUAAUCUGCUCCAUUGCAACUUCAGGGAGAUAAGACUUGUAGCUUCAAUUUGUUCUGCUACAACUUAAAGAUAAGUCCGAUGCGAUCUGCUUUACUGCAACUUCAGAGAGAUGAGAUCUGUGGUCUUAAUCCACUCCAUUGCAACUUCAAGGAGAUUGGAUUGGUUACUUUUGUAUCCUCCACUGCAACUUCAGGGAGACAAGACUUGUAUCUUCGAUCUACUUCACCACCAGUAUGGGAAGACAAGAUCUGCUUUCUUCGAUCUACUUCACGCCAAUACAUGAAGACAAGAUCUGCUUUCUUCGAUCGAUUCCACUACCGAUCGGGGAGAUAGAAUUACUGGCUUCAAUAUACUCCACUGCAACUUCAGGGAGGUAAAAUUCGCCAUCUUCGAUCUGCUCCACUACUGCUUAGGGAGGCAAAAUCUGUAAUCUUCAAUCUAUUCCACUGUUGCCCAGGGAGAUAUAAUUACUGGCUUCAAUGUACUCCACUGUAACUUCAGGGAGGUAAAAUCUGACAUCUUCGAUCUGCUCCACUACUGCUUAGGGAGGCAAGAUCUGUAAUCUUCAAUCUACUUCGCCACCAGUAUGGGAAGAUAAAAUCUGUAUAUUCGAUCCACUUCACUACCGAUAUAAGAAUACAAGACCUACUAUCUUUGAUGAAGACAAGAUCUGUUUUCUUCGAUCUACUUCGCCACCAGAAAAGGAAGACAAGAUCUGGUAUCUUUGAUCCACUUCGCUACCAAUAUAGGAAGACAGGAUCUAGUAUCUUUGAUCUACUUCACGCCAGUACAUGAAGACAAGAUCUGUUUUCUUCGAUCUACUUCGCCACCAGUAUGGGAAGACAAGAUCUGGUAUCUUUGAUCUACUUCGCUACCAAUAUAGGAAGACAGGAUCUGGUAUCUUUGAUCUACUUCACGCCAGUACAUGAAGACAAGAUCUGUUUUCUUCGAUCUACUUCGCCACCAGAAUAAGAAGACAAGAUCUGGUAUCUUUGAUCCACUUCGCUACCAAUAUAGGAAGACAGGAUCUAGUAUCUUUGAUCUACUUCACGCCAGUAUAUGAAGACAAGAUCUGUUUUCUUCGAUCUACUUCGCCACCAGUAUGGGAAGACAAGAUCUGGUAUCUUUGAUCAACUUCGCUACCAAUAUAGGAAGCCAGGAUCUGGUAUCUUUGAUCUACUUCACGCCAGUACAUGAAGACAAGAUCUGUUUUCUUCGAUCUACUUCGCCACCAGAAAAAGAAGACAAGAUCUGGUAUCUUUGAUCCACUUCGCUGCCAAUAUAGGAAGACAGGAUCUAGUAUCUUUGAUCUACUUCACGCCAGUACAUGAAGACAAGAUCUGUUUUCUUCGAUCUACUUCGCCACCAGUAUGGGAAGACAAGAUCUGGUAUCUUUGAUCUACUUCGCUACCAAUAUAGGAAGACAGGAUCUGGUAUCUUUGAUCUACUUCACGCCAGUACAUGAAGACAAGAUCUGUUUUCUUCGAUCUACUUCGCCACCAGAAAAAGAAGACAAGAUCUGGUAUCUUUGAUCCACUUCGCUGCCAAUAUAGGAAGACAGGAUCUAGUAUCUUUGAUCUACUUCACGCCAGUACAUGAAGACAAGAUCUGUUUUCUUCGAUCUACUUCGCCACCAGUAUGGGAAGACAAGAUCUGGUAUCUUUGAUCAACUUCGCUACCAAUAUAGGAAGCCAGGAUCUGGUAUCUUUGAUCUACUUCACGCCAGUACAUGAAGACAAGAUCUGUUUUCUUCGAUCUACUUCGCCACCAGAAUAGGAAGACAAGAUCUGGUAUCUUUGAUCCACUUCACUACCAAUAUAGGAAGACAGGAUCUAGUAUCUUUGAUCUACUUUAGGCCAGUACAUGAAGACAAGAUCUGUUUUCUUCGAUCUACUUCGCCACCAGUAUGGGAAGACAAGAUCUGGUAUCUUCGAUCUACUUCACGCCAGUACAUGAAGACAAGAUCCGCUUUUUCUGAUUGAUUCCACUACCAACCGGGGAGGUAGAAUUACUAGCUUCAAUAUACUCCACGGAAACUUCAGGGAGGUAUAAUCCGCCAUCUUCGAUCUGCUCCACUACUGCUUAGGGAGGCAAGAUCUGUUUCUUUGAUCUACUUCACGCCAGUACAUGAAGACAAGAUCUGUUUUCUUGGAUCUACUUCACCACCAGUAUGGGAAGACAAGAUCUUUUGUAUUCAACAUGCUCCACUGUUGCUCAGGGAGAUAAGGCUUCAUGAUUUCACUGAUCUGCUCUCUGUAGAACAUGACCUGUAUGAUUUAUUUCAUGAACCAAUUAUGCCUAAUGAUUAGGAUGUCAUGAUCAGAAUGAAUCAAAUGCCCCUAACUAGAUAUGUAUGAAUGACAUUUGAAUGAAAGCAAAAUGUCAUGAAAAUGAUAUUUUAACGCUUGAGUUAUUAUUACUCCAAGUUUAUUAAGGUUUAAUUGCAAAUGUGCUAUAGCGCCUCUUUGCUCGGCUGGCGUCUCCAAAGAACAUUUGAUCAGAUUGCCCCCCACUGUAAACCUCUAAGUUUGAUCCACUGGGAUGCAAAAAUUUGUACCAUCUUUCUCCCGUUGUAAACCAAGAUGUGAAAGAUUUGGCCUUUUCUCAAUCCUCUGUUAUCACAAUACAGGAUGUGAAACUUUUUGGUCUCUUACACCAUUCCCAGGGUGUUGUACCAAAAUGCUCAUGCACAAAUGAAGAAAUCUUCUCCAAGAACAACUUCCUCUUAUUAUUCGGUGAUCAUUGCUUGCUUGUUCAUUGAAGCUUUGUCACCAACAUGACAUCUUGCCAUUUUAUUCAAUUUAGACAAGAAAAUUCAAAGGGAUAGUCUUUAAUUUAGAAUCUUCUUUAUCAGAUUUCCAACCUGGUGCGUUUUAAACAAUAGUCCUGUUUGAGGUUCCUAUAUUAUUCAGAGACUUCUAGAGUAAUAUGCAAAACUUCCCUUGUGAAAGUUUUACUAGUCCAUUAAUCAUUAUUCUAAUGCAACAUGCUUGCAAAAAAGAUUAUAGAUAAGAAUAGAGUUGGUUCUGCGCAUAACUUGAAAUGAAUAAGUUGUCAAAGAUAAUAAAGAUAAAUGACAAAGAAAUGUGUAUCUUGGAAAUGAAUGAAGUGUUCCAAGAAUAACAAAAAUGAUAUACAGAUUAGGUGCCCCAGAUAUCGUAGCUUGAACUUCUCUGUACAAACUUGCUGAAGAGCUUUCUGGGCUUGACAUGUGUUUAGAAGAUCUACCAUACUCUAUCGAUGCCCCAAGAUGUCGCAUACCAUUUCCUGCUGAUUCUGGUAUAGCAAGACCACUGUAUAUCCCAUUUUGAUCAGUAUUUGAGCUGCUCUGAUUACUUCAUGCCCUAUUCUGAUCAAUAUUUGAGCCGCCCUUUUCGGGUUUUCAACUCAAAUCCCCUUUGGUCUAAGGCGCCCUUUGCGAGUUUUCACCUUAACCUCUCCAUUUUUUACUCAAAGCUCCCUUUGUAGGGUUUCACAUUGGCCUUUUUUUUGACUCAAAGCGCCAUUUGUAGGCUUUCACCUUGGUCCCACCUUUUAGGAAAAGUACUUCCUAACGGAAUUUGAGUUUACAUAGCUUGGAGAAUCUUUACCAUCCAUCUUACUCAGGAUCAAAAUUUUCCCCAGAAAAGGCUUUCUUUAUGACAUAUCCUCUUAAUUUGGCAUCCAUCUUCCUCUAAAAUCCUUUUGUAUAUGAAGGAUUUGCUUCCCCUUGUGAAAAUUUCUAAGACGAGCCUUUGGAUCUUCCUCUUAGGAUAAAAAUGCAGAGAAAUGACAAUUCGACUUCAAUGAGCAAAGCUAUGAUAAACCAAAGUGAAAGACAUUGCCCCAGUAAAGGAAUUUCACUGAGCAUAUCCGGGUAUAACCAUGUGAAGACAUCAUUGAAUUCCUAGGGUAACUCAUAAGGUCUUGAUUUGCUUCUUCAGUCAUACAUGUUCCCUCAAGGUCACAGUCUUCAUUGUCUUUUCAUGAGGUAAAAUCUUCUUCCUGCUCUACCAUCCUUAAUAAAUCCAGAAAUAAGCUACGAUCCAUGUCAUCUUCAAAGUUGUGAGAUCCCUCUAAACACAUGUCUCACUCAAAAGGAGAUUCUAAAUUUGUAGCAGUGUCAUUCAUGUCAUUGAUAUUUGGGGACCUAUAGUGGGUACCAAAAAAAGAAUGUAUGAAUAAUAUAAAUGAACGAAUGAAUGAUUUGGCAGGAGAAAUCCAAUAGAAUGAAGAAAACGUAAAGACUGAAAGAACAUUUGCUCAAAGAUUAUUGCAAUAAUGUAUUCAUUAAAAAUAAUAAUGUUCAGACAUGAGUCUAUUUCACAAAGGAGUUCUUAUUGAUUUUAGGCUAAAAGCAACAAGUGUGUUCUGAACAUUACUCUAUCAAGCUCUAAAUAACAUAGGAGUUUCCUCUGCAGUCCCAUUAUUUAUAACACCUCCCAGGCGGAUAUCUGACCAGAACCCUUUUAAUUGCGUCUGCACAUAUGGCGUCGAUGUGAAAAUCUCAUCACUUCUCUACACAUCACACACCCCCCAUUAUCAAUCAUGAUUGGGUAAUGGACUCUCUGCACUUGAUGAGUCACCAAAUUUAACAACACCCAUGUCGAUGAGUCUUUCAACUUGCUUCUUGAAGGCAGUGUAAUUCUCAAUCGAAUGUCCCGUAGUUCCCGCAUGGUAUUCACAUUGCGCGUUCGCAUCAUACCAUUUGGGAUACGGAGGUUGUAGAGGCUUCACAAGAAAAGGGGAAACAACAUGGGCAUCAAACAGAUUUUGAUACAGUUUCCUAUAUGGUAUUGGAAUUGGCGUGAAUCGGGGCCUCUCUGUGUUUUGUCCUGUACUAGCUUUCUGUCUCGAUGAACCUUGCUGGUUAGCAGCCACCUUUCUUGGCUGACUUACCGUAACUGAUUUAGAGUAACCCAUGUUGUUCACCUCAUCUUCUCUUCUCCUUGAGACUGACCUCUUGUUACUCUCUCCAACAUCGAUCUUUCCACUUCUUAUGGCAUUUUCGAUCAUCUCGCCAUUCAUGAUUAUGUCGGGAAAGCUUUUUGUAGCACUCCCCAACAUAUGUGUAAUGAACGGUGCCUUCAGGGUGUUAAUGAACAACAUGGUCAUUUCUUUUUCCAAGAGCGAUGGCUGAACUUGGACUGCGACCUCCCUCCAUCUCUGCGCGUAUUGUCUAAAGCUUUCACUCGGCUUCUUCUCCAUAUUUUGAAGGGUGAUCCUAUCAGGAGCCAUGUCCGUCACAUGACUAUACUGUUUCAUGAAUGCUUGUGCCAAGUCCCUCCAUGAUCCAAUCGUGGCACGACUCAACUGAUUGUACCACUUGGAUGCUGCCCCAGUAAGGCUGUCUUGGAAACAGUGUAUCAAGAGUUGGUCGUUGUUAACAUAACCCGUCAUUCGCCUGCAGAACAUGGUGAUGUGAGCUGCUGGGCAGCUUGUCCCAUUGUACUUUUCAAAUUCAGGCAUCUUAAACUUAUGAGGGAGAACAAGGUCUGGCACCAAACUCAGCUCUUUUGCGUCAAUGCCCCGAUUACUUUCAGUGACUUCCAUCGCUUUAAACUUCUCCUCGAGCCACUUGCAUCGAUCGUCUAACUGUUUCGGUAAUUCCACCUUUAUUCUUUCCUUCUCAACCACUUCAUCAAAGUCAGGAAUGGCAGAGUUAACAUGAUUAUUUUCAAGAUUAGAACUCGGCCCAGUUUGGAGGUUCGAAAUACCAGCCCAAAACUGCUGAGGCAUGAUAGUGACAGUAGAUUUGCGCGGGUAUUCAGCUUGGGCUCGCGUAUGUGGAGGGGUGAAACCUAGAGUGUAAAGAAUUUCAUCAUCAUUUCCCUCAUCGACAUUUGCCAUGGGACCCUUUCCUUUAUCACUUCCCUUAGUUAUCAGUCGGGUUAACUUUUCCACUAUAUCCUCCUGAGAUUCCCGUAUCUUCUCAGACAUUUCUUGCUUCAUUUUGUCUAACCGCUCCUGCAUUUGUAGCUGAAGCCGGUCUUGCAUCUCCUUCUGGUACUGUUCGAGCUUCUCUAAUCUCUGAUCCAUAUCUUUUGUCUUUGCUCGAGUGCCGUAACGGUGCUUGGUAGGUUGGUUGGUUUCCAGGUUAACUGAGCAAUGAUUUUAAUUAAUUAGGAUCAUUUAGAGGUGUUUAAUGCAUAUGAUGCAAUGUGAUGCAAAUGCAUGAAAUGAAUGCCUAAAGAGAUGUUAACUUUGAUUCAAUUACAUUCAAAAAACUUUACUAGAAGACGAAUUUCUUUACAUAAAGUAGAUAUAUAUAUACGACUUUGCCCUCAUAUUCCAGUCGAAGACAUCUUCUCCUUCUCUAUCCGGAUGCUAGGAUAAACCUUGCGAAUUCUUCAAAAGGAACGUCUCUUCUACCUCCUGGGCUGUGACUCGUUGCUCCUUUAUCGUCGCGAUGCUCGUUGGCUUCCCUUAAAAAAAAGUUCAGCGGCUCUCGAAUAAUCUUCAUCUGUAAUGGCCCAAAUUCAAAAUUAUCGGAAUAGUGGUUUCGUAACCACAAAUCUGAUUUAAAGAAAAAUUUAUUUUAAUAUUUGUGCAUGAAUAUUGAUAUGAUAGGAAAAAUCGUAUGAAAAUAUAGAUAGAAAAAUUUUACUGAUUAAGUGGUUAGUUAGAAAAAGAAAUUAUUGAAGGAAUUAGGUAAAAAUAAGAUAUCGAGACUUUGAUCUAGUAAAACCGAGUCAAAAAUAUUUUUAUAAAUAUUUAUGAAGUGUUAGUAAUAUGGUAUUAAAAUUUCGUUAGAAAAUAUUAAUGUUUGGGUAGUCAAUUAAGUGAAAAGGACUAAAUUGAAAAAAAUGUAAAAGUUACUAGAGGGAUUAAAUAGCUCAAUUGUGAAAUGAGGAGGGAUAUAAAUUGCAAAUAACCUCAAAAGGAGAUAUUUUGGGCGGCAUACGCUGAGAAAAAUCAGGAGAAUUGAAGAAAUAAGGGUAAAAUUGGAAUAUUACAAAAUUUGCUUUAAAAGUUAGGACUAAAGUGGAAUUAUCUAGAUUUCUCUUUAAUUUUCUGCACUUUCAUCAGCCACAAACGUCCUAAGGGUUUCUUCAAGCUGGUUUUUCAUAAUUUUUGCACCAAGUGAGUUAAUUCUUGCCUUUUUCUUGUAAUUUUUGCGUUUCUAAGACUUUUACAAUUAGGUCCUAUUACUUAAUUCAUUAGUUUUUGAUUUUAUGAAUGAUAUUGAAAGUUGAUAUGAAUAUGUGCUGGAAGUUUAUGAGGAAAUAGGAUGAAAUUGAAGCUUUAAUUUGUUUAUGAGAUGAUUUUAUUAGGUAAUUCCAAUAGAAAUUGAUUUGUAGGACCUAAUUGUGAAAAAGUUUGGAAUUAAAGUUUAGUGCUGAAAUUCUUAUUUCCAAAGGUUAUAAGGUAGUUUAAAGUGAUAUAAUAAAGUGUUGAUUGAGAAAAAUUAGCUCAAUUGAGAGGUUAAUUGAGCAGGGACGAAAUUAUCAUUGUUGAAAGUUUAGGGGAAAAAUGGUAAUUAACACCAUGCACUAAAACAGUUUUGGACAGCAGCAGUACUUAACUUUGAAAAAUCACCAAAAAUUUUAGAGAUCGAAUUAGAGGAUGAAUAAAAUAUGAAAUUAAAGCUUAUUGAGUCUAGUUUCUUAUAAAAGAAACGGUGUAAGAAAUGGAAUUGUAAAUCAUGAGAUAUAAUAGAAUUUGUGAGACAAGGUCAGAAUGAAUUCGGGUUCCCCUGUUCUGACUUUGGAAAAUCAUUAAAAAUUGUAAAAAAACGAUUAUGAGUUAUAAUUUAUAUGCUUAGAAUCCUUAAUGAGUCUAUUUUCUGAGGAAAUAAAGGGAAGCAUCAUCCUAAUUCUGUACAGUGAGAUAAUUAAUUUUUAGUGAAGAGGGGUCAGAACUGUCAUACAGUGAAACAGGGGAAACUUUAAAGAAUAAACUGUACUUAUUGGCUAAACCAAAAAUUCUGAAAUUUUUAUGGUAAGAAGAUAUGUGAGUCUAGUUUCAGGAAAAAUUAACGGAUCUUAAUUUGGAGUUCUGUAGCUCAAGAUAUAAAUAAUUUAGUGACUGUGACUCAGUGAGGCAGCUUUGAAUGCACUAUAAAUAAUAAUGGAAUUGUAGAGAAAGUUACAUAUGAACAUGAAAUGUAUUAGAUUAAUGAUUAAAUUUAUUUAUUUAGAUCCGGAAAAUUCAAAUACGAAGCAAGAUCGAGGAAAAGAAAAAGUUCGGGAUUAGUAGAUUUUUGGUUACGAACAAGUGUCGAGGUAAGUUCGUGUAACUUGAAUUAUAUUCAUAAAUGCUUGAAAUGUUUGUUAUUGAUGUGAAUAUGAGUUGGAUGUUUGUUGUAUGAUAAUUGAUGAAGUAUUGAUAUUCUUGAUGAAAAGAGAAAAUAAAUCUCGGUUGAAUGAAAGGAAAAUUCGAUGGAUCUCUGAAAAGGAAUUGACGGUAAAAAGGAUCUAGCCCGGACGGGUGAUCCUAUCCUGAUAUAGCCCUCCCGAAGAAUAUGUGGAAAAUGGAUUUAGCCCGGACGGGUAAUCCGAAUUAGGGUCUGAAUUUAGCCUGGACUGGUAAUUCAGAUCCAAGCUCAUUAGAGUAAUUGUCGUUGCAGGGGAUUUAGCCUGGACUGGUAAUCCCGACAAUACUCUAUGAGUUUAUAUUACAGGGGAUUUAGCCUGGACUGGUAAUCCCGCUGUAAGGAUGAGGUUCGCGGGAGUGUGCUCUCUGAAAUAGAAAUGUGCGCACAUGAAUAUGAAUUGACGGACCCGGAUUUGUACACUUAGGUGUACCCCAGAAUAUCCAUCGAAAUUCCAAGUAGUUCAACGGGAUAAAUAUGGAAAAAUAAUAAGGAAAUGGAAAUCAUGGAAUUGAUGAGCUCAUCAAUCAUUUAUCUUUGUAAUGAAUUUGUAUGAGGUUGAGUUUGUAUGUGAUAGGUAUAUGUUUAUGUGAAUUGGAUGUGUGCUUGUGUUAUUAAAUGAUGGAUGUAUAAGUAUGGUAAGUAUAAUUCCUGUUACAUGAACUUACUAAGCACAAAGUGCUUACCCUGUUUCUUUUUCCCCUGUUUGUAGAGUUAAGAGCUCGGAAGUCGGAUUUGGUCGGAGACACAUCACACUAUCAAUCUCGAGAUCUCGGUACAUAAAGGAACUUUAUUUUGGAAAUCAAUGGCAUGUAUAAGCUAGUAAAUUAGAUGUUAAUGUGAAAUGAAUGUAUGGUUAGCCAUUGGUAUGGCUAACAAAUUUUGGUUUUGGUAUGUGAUGAAAUUAUCUUAUGAAUAUGAUAAAUCUAUCUUAAAAAAAAAAAUUCGGUAAAAUCUGGUAAUGCCUUAUACUCUAUUUCGGCGACGAAUACGGGUAGGGGGUAUUACAUCAUCAGCUUGAGUCUUCGGGCAACGGAGCAAUGGUUAUGUAGUCCUCCAUUAAACUAUCAUCUUCCUCUAGUUGUGUUUUCUCGGAACAUAUUCGGGCAACCGUAUUAUUUUCCACUUUAUCAAGAAACCCAUUUCCUUAUGACAAGCUCUCUAUUAACAACCGAAUGUGAAUCAACACCUCUUUUAUGAUGAAAAAUGCAAUGCAAUCAUGAUGUCAUGCAAUCAAAACAAAAUGCAACAAGUUAGUAUCGGGUAUAAACAUUAAAUCCAAUAUAAGCAAGAAAUAAUAAAAACUCCUAGUCAGGUAUCUCCUAAGGUUUAGAGUACUUCUACCUAAGGUAAGUUCCUAAAGCUCACUAUAUGAGGUUUAGUUUCUAGAGUAAAGGUACCCGAACCAGCAGAUUCCUCGAUCCUCACCCAUUAUAGGCUCAUGUGGAUCAAGUUUAGUUCAGGGGGAUACAUUUCCCUAUGGCUGCACGGAGAUGAAAAUCUCACGAAGACAUAGGUACGGAUGUAUCCCGGAAGCGAUCCACUACCCUGCACGGAGGUGAAAACCUCACGAAGGACUAGUUUCUCGCUCCCACUUAAAGGGUAAAAUGCAAAAUGCAAAUGCAGAGUUGCCAACAUACCAAAACUCAAUGAAUACGAAGGGAACUCAUGAAAUUUUUUUUAAAACACUUUUGAUUUUCGACACAAAGACAAAUAUAAUCGGUUUAUGGCUCGACUCUCCAACGUCCCCAGUGGAGUCGCCAAGCUGUCGAAACCGCUUUUUUGAAAAACAAAAAUUUGGUUGUCGACUUUAAAAAUAAAACUGGAGUCGCCACCGAUCCUUUAUUAAGGUGCGAUCGGCCCACCUUAAAAAUUAUUUUGGCCUACGAAUUUUGAGAAAAUGAGUUCGGGAGUCAGUUACGCACGAGGAAGUGUUAGCACCCUCGUAACGCCCAAAAUCGGUACCAAAUUGAUUAUUUGAUGUCUUAGUGUCGAAGGUUAAAAAGAUUUUUAAAACAACUCAAAUGAUGAAAUCUGAAAAGGAUACUCAAUUGUUCAAGUCAUGUAAAGAAAUCGAGUCCCAAUACGUUAGGGUACAAUUUCUCAAAAUUCUCGAACUUUGAAUAUCACUUUUAUUUUAUGCGAAAAUUUUCAUUUUGGGAAAGUAACAUGCCACACCCAAUACGUUAGGACAGGACAAGUUAAGUUCCCAAAAAUGAUUUUUAUUCUCAUGCAUUUUGAAUAAAGAAUAUUCCCAGCUUUUUAAGAUUGACAAAGAAAAUCAGAACCCAAUGCGUUAGGGCUCAAUUUUCCUCGGAAAUCCCAAACUUCGAAUAAUGCUUUUAUUAAAAAAACCUUUGAAUCAUGAAAAUAACUUUGAUAUACGGUUAAAACCAAAAUAUAUUUUCAAAAGGGUACAUUGAAAAGUUAAUGUACAAUAUGAUACAAAACUUCAAUUUAAAAUACAUGUAUAUAUGUGUCUUUUCAAAAUAUAAGUAUGAGACAUAAAUAAAUUUUGAAAACGUGUAUGAGCAUAUAUUAAAACGGGUAUAUAUAAGUAUACGUAUAUAUAAAAAAAAUGAAAUAUAUAAAACAAAACAAAAACCUAUUAUAAUUUUCUAAGAAAAUAUGCAUGUAUGUAUAUGUAUGCGAAAUUUAUGAAAAUAAGAUAAAAGUAUAAAAAUAUGUACAUGUGUAUAUAUUUACAAAAAAGUAUACAUAUAAAAUAUAAAGUAUAUAUAAAAAGUAAAUAACAAAAAUAAAAAAAACAUAGGUAUAAAAUAUAUGCAUUUAUUUAUAAAACUUUAAUAUAUAUAUACCUAUAUAAAAAAAACCCAUAUGUAUAUUAUAUAUAAAAAAACUAUGCGUAUAUAUAUAUAUGUAUAGAAAAUAUGAUAAUAAUCAAUAAUAAUAACUAAUAUAAUAAAAAUAAUUAAUUUUAAUGAUAAAAUAAUUAAUAACAAGGGACCCAAAUUGAAACUACAGGAAACUUUCAGGUAAACAUUUAAAAUAAUAAAAGCUGAAGACUAAUUUGUAGUGCCCUGGAAACAUCAGGGAGUAAACGAGCAAAUAUACCAGCCCCUUAUACGCAGCAUUUUCAUGUUGGACCAAAUUGAAACAGGAAACAGACGUGCGGUCAAAAUUAAAAAUAAAAAAAAUUGCAUUGAAGGUGACUCAAAAACAGAGGGACCAGUUGCGCAAAUUCCCCAUUCAGGGCCAGAACGCGCGGACCCUGCUUGCGGGUCGGGUCGACGCGCGGAUCUGGCCCCUUGCAAAACGGCGCCGUUUCACUCUUAUUAUUUAAAACAGUUUUCUUCUUUUUUUUUAAAAAUCUGUAGCCAACAAACAAAAAAACUUUUAACCCUCUGCUAGGUUUUUUUUUUAAAAAACUCCUUUUGUUUUUGUGCCGUCGCUCGUCGGCCACCGGAGCCCCGAUGACGGCAGAGAUGGUAGCAAACGGCGGCCCGAACACAGAGGUAAACUCCUCUUCACUCUCUUCUCUUUAUAAAUCAACAGUAAACAUGGAAGAAAAAAAAAUGAACGCCGAAAAAAAAAAACCACCUUUAUAUUCAAGAAAAGUUUGUAUUUUCCUUUCUUUUUCUCUGUAUUUUUCAGUGUUUUUGUGUGCACUCCUUUACACCGAAAAUCCCCCCUUUAUUCUCUUUACAAAUCGGUUUAUAUAUAACCGAAAAAUAUAAAAAAAAUGCAAAAUCAAAGAAAUAUUUUCUGUUAUUGCUGCACUUUCUGCCAUUUUCCAGUUUUUUCUCGCAGGUAUGGGCACUGUUGGGGAGUGCUCACGCUCGUGGAGGCGCAAAUCGCGCGGAGGGAGGACUCUGGCCCGCAUUGUGCGGCGGCUGGUGUUGCUGGAGGCUGCCAUUAAGGUUUGGGGUAUGGGGGUUGCUAGUUGGGCCAGGUUUAGGGUUAUUGGGCCUGUAUAUUUGGUUUUUUAGUGGGCCGGACAAUUUGGGCUUGUACAAUUACUUUUCCCAACAGAUAUCUUUGUCCUUUGCAACCAAAAAAAAAAAAAAAACAAAGAAAAACCAACCAUCCUAUUUUCUAAUUUAAAAAAAUAUUUUCCUUUUUGUGAAAAUAGAUGUUUUCGGAGUAUUGUUGAUUCAAAAGUAACAAAUUUUUCAACAAGUCGAUAUUUUUCUCUCAAUAUUUUCUAAAAGAAUGACAAUUUCAUAAACAACAGCCAUAUUCAUGCUAUUCAAAUGUAUCUUAAUAAAACCCUAUCAUCAUUGAUGUCUAAAAGGAAUUUUUUAUCCCAUUUAAAGCUAAAAGCAACUAUUUUUUUAAAAGCCAAAUUAGCUUUUCAAAACCAUCUUUUUUAAGUCAAAUCAAAAACUUCAAAUUUCGUUUUUACUUUUCUAAAGCUAGUUUUGAGUGUCUAAAUACAAUUUUAUCUCUCAUUUAAUCUAAAACUUUUAUAAAGUAUAGGGACUAAUAGCAGAAUUUAACCCAAAUUUUGUGAUAUUUGAUUCCUCUCCCAUUUUUCUAAUCCAAACAUAAAGUUAGAAAAGGGGAGAUUCCUAUGCUGCUCCAAAUUGUAAGGUUUAUAUCUUGUAGUGAAACAAAAUUACAAAAUUAUAAUUUUGUCAUGUGCCUUUGGAUUUUAAUUUUUUUUAAUAUAUGGUAGUAUUAUAAUUUCAUUAUCGAUGUAUAAAAAAAUAAUCCAACUAUAAUUGAGACCCAGGUAAAAAGCCAGAAAAUUUAUCUUAUCUUAUCUUUCUGCUCUUUUAAUCCUUUAAUGAUCUGUUAAUUUUUGAGAAAGGUACAAAUGAAAUUCUACGUGUGAGAGGAAUGUUAAACUAAGUCGUGAUUCUCUAAACUCCUGCAUGUAUUGCAAUUGAGGUGAUGGAUACAAUGAAUGUUUUGUAGAGUGUAAAUUCUUCUUCUUCUUCGAUUAAGGUUCAAUUUAUCACUUUGUAUAAGAUUAAGGGAAAGGGUAUGUAUGAGUAUAGCUUAAGAUUGUUUUUUUAUCCAUAAAAAAAAUGGUGAUCUAUUUUAUUUUAUUCUUUGCUUAAGGAUCGCGUGAUAUCCUUGAAAAAAAAAUAUAAAGUAGUAGGAAUAAAUCCCAAAAUUAUAUAUAAAUUAUGGUUUAAUGUGUAAUUGUAUACAUAAAAUUUUAAUUUGAUCCAAUUCUUCUAAAUUAUUAACACAAUUAUCGAUAUAACAUCAUUUUAUGUUUAUAUAUUGCAUACAUAAAUAAUUAUAUUCAUCGGAUAUAAAAAUAAAUUGAUAUAUUUAUUUCUUUAAAUGUGCAUGACUAAAUCAAAAUUGAAGUUUCAAGUAUACAUUUGAACCACAAUUAGAGUUUUAUGUGUAUAAUUACACCAAAUUAAAAUUAUGUAUACAAUUGCACAUUAAAUCAAAGUUCAUAUAUAAUUUUGAGAUUUAUCCUUAACUAAUAUAAAGAACGGAGAUUUAUUAGCGUAACUGUUUAUUUCAUUCGUAAAUCACUUAACUUUUCUUAUUGUUGUCCAUGAUUAUCAUUUUUUGUUCACAUUAGUACUAAAACUUUGUUAUUUUUCUCAAUUUGAUCUCUAAACUCAAAAUUUUUUAAGGUAUGAUGAUGUGACAUUAUGAGAUUAUGCAAUGUCAUCACUUGAAUUUUUUUAAAAGUUUUCUUUAUGGUUUCCCCCCUUAAAUUGGUUCAUUUUAUAAAAUUAUUAUUUUAAUAAACAAAUUUCAUGUUAGAAACUGAGAAAAAAAUAUUUACUUAUAAAUAUUUUUAUAAUUUUAUAUAUUUUUUAUAAUCUUAUGUAUUUUUAUCAAGAAUGAGCUUGUAAAUAGUUUUUUUAUGUUUUGAAGUUUUUUUACUUUUAAGAAUUAAGACUAAAUUGAUAAAAUGUGUGAAGUUGAGGGUUAAAUUUGUUAAAAUUUUUUAUUAUGCCAAUAAAAAGAGGCCAUUAAAGUGAUUUAAUGGAUGAGUGACCAAAAUAUUAAAUUUCAAUAACGUUAAUAACUAAAAUAGUAAUUUUUAAACCUGCGUAAACCAAAACAAAAAUAUGCUAGUAAUUGGAUGUCUAUUUUUAUAAUUUACCCAUAAUAAUAUUAAAUGCAAGAUGCAAAGGUAAAAAGAAUCCAAUUAAAUUAUCAUUUUUUAUGAAACCCAAAAAUACAAAAUUAAAAGACUAAAAAAGAAAAUAAAUAAAAUUAUUAAUUUUUGAGAAGGAUCAUCUAAAAGGGGUGAAGUGCACUUACAUGUUCCCUCGAUAGUCUAUGAUUUGAGAGGAGUUAGACGUAAAUUAUUCUGGUUCUUUGAAUAAGAUUCAAUUAAUCACUUUGGAUGGAUUAAGGAAAAGAGUAGCUAUGGAGAUUGCUUAAGAUUGUUUUUCAUCACUUUGAAUCAUUCUUUACUUCAAGUCGAACAUACUUUACAACUAAUUUUUGCAAUUUUCAAAUAAAUGAUAGUUAGUGGUUCAUGUCAUUUUGCAACUCUCCUAUUUUGUUCAUCACUUUCAUUACUUAAAAGAGUACUAUAUAAUAAUAAUUCUUCACUUCACAUGGCAGCUGGAACAGGAAAUAUUGAUGCCUUUUACGCUCUAGUUCGAGAGCAUCCAUACAUGUUGGAGCAUAUUGAUCAGAUUCCUUCCAUCGAUACUCCACUUCACAUAGCAGCAAAUGAAGGCCAAAUUAAUUUUGCAACGGAGAUGAUGAACUUGAAGCCUUCAUUUGCUCGGAAGCUGAACCAAGACGGGUUUAGCCCCAUGCACUUGGCGUUCAGAAAUGGGCACCCCAAGCGAAUGCUUCGACUGUUGAAAAUCGAUAAUGAUCUGGUUCGCGUCAAAGGAAGGCAAGGGAUGACCCCAUUCCUUUGGGCUGCCACAGUGGGGAACAGGGAUUUAAAUUGCGGUCGCAUUGCGUUUAUCGUGGUUGCGGGCAUAACGGAUGCUAUUGCGGUUAUUGCGAGUAUCGAGGUCGUGAAUUUUAAAAAAAAUUCACACAACUUAUUGUAAAAUAUAAUAGCAGUUUCGGACGGUGCCGCUACCGCUAUUUAACGGCGCUAUUUCGGUAACGGACUGCUAUUUAAAUCCCUGGACUGGACUGGGGAACUCUAAUCUUUUAUUCCAGUUCCUUGAAGCUUGCCCUGAAUGCAUGGAAGAUGUGACGGUUCGAAACGAGACUGCAUUAAGCUUCGAAAAACGACCACAUCGGAGCUUUGAAUCUCUUGAUUGGAUGGCUUCAAAGGAACUGUCGUGGAGGAGCCUUUGAUUUGUCAGAAAAGGUUGUAAAUUGGAGAGAUGAAUAUGACAACACUGUGUUGCACAUUACAGCUAAAAAGGAACAAUAUGAGGUAUCUGCAAUGCAACUAUAUUAUCGUUUACUUUUGGGGUUUGAAUUUCUUUUUGCUGCCGGUAUUUAUCUGAUUGUGAUAAGUUUGAUUCUUUUGGUAGUGUUUGUAAGAGGAAUUUGGAUUUGACUUUCUGUUUUAUAAAUUCAUUAUUUCUAUUUUUUUUUGUUUGGAUUUUUUUGUUUAGAUGACUCAAAUUUAGAUUUGAGAUUCAACGACUUAAUUUUUUUAAAAUUUCAUUAUCAAGGAGGAUUUUGAAUAAAAUUGUCUGAACCCGACCAGUUAGAUCGAGAACUAAUUAAUGUAUUGAUUCAGAGAAAGACAUUAAGUCGAUUGAAUUGGACAAAAAACCCCUUGAUCAAGUAGUUAAAACAGACAUUUUUAUUUUAUGAACCUUUAAUGAUUUAUUUAAUAAAACUGAACUGAUAGGUUAAACUAUCAAUUUGAUCAUUAGUUUUCAUAAUAAAGUGGAAAACACAUUUUAUUCAUUCAAAAUCUAGGUUUUCAGAACCAAACUAUAGUGGUCAAACCUAUCAAACUGAUUGCUUUUUCCACUUUGUUUCAUUAAGUCGAGGUUUUCAAAAUAAGUAGUUUGAUCGGUUUGACUAUUAAUUUGAUUAUGAAAACCUUGAUCUUGAAUGAAUAAAAUGAUUUUUCCACUUGGUUAGGAACAGUAGUUUAGGCUAAAACUAAUUGGUGUUUGUAUAUUAUUUGAAAGAGUUUUUUUUUCUGAAAGAAUGUAACUUUCUGUUUUUAUAUUUUUAUAAGUUUUUGGGUUAAAAUAUUAGAAAGGACUCUCAAUUUUAUUGUAUUAUUUAUAUUUUGUUUACACUUAAAUAAAAUCAUAUAAUUUGAUUUGUACUUAAAUAAAUGGACUUAGAUGUAAAUUAAGAGUCGAGGGUUUAUAAAUUAAAAUCGUGAAAAUUAUGGUAUAAAUGAAAAUUUUAAAUAUUUAUACUGUACUAAAUUAAAUGCAUUAAGCUUCGUCACUGUUUUCAAAAUUGGACUGGCUUGUCAAAUCGAUUGGAUCGUGAACCAACCGGGAUACCAAUCCAGAAUAAGGAGUCACACCAGUUGAACCGAUCGGAUCAGUCGAUCGGAUUAGUCAAACUGGUCGGUUAAAUCAACGAUCGAAUAGAUUGAACAAAUUUUCUCUAUUUUUUAAUAUUUUUAAUAAUUUAUUAAAUUAAAUUGGUCGAAUCGAUUGAAACAGGAACCUGUGGUCUAACUGAUUCGCUCAUCAUUCUAGUUCUAAAAACCUUGAAUUUUGUUGAUGAUAUAUUUUAAGUAAAAUUAAUUAUUUAUUAUUUAGGUGUAAAGGUAGUGUCAAAGAAGAGGCUACAAAAAAAUUUGUUUUUUUAAUAAAUUUAAGUUUUAAAAAUUUCAAAUUUUAAAAUCCACAAAUUUAACUCGGAUUUGCACGAACUCAAAUCCAAUUUUUUUUUUUUUUUUUGUUAUGAAAUUAGAUUUACGUUUCCAAAGAGUGGAUUUGAUAAUUGUAUUAAUUAUGCAGGCACUGAAGCUGUUGUUAUAUACCAAUGUUGGGUUACAUGUAACAGCUAAGAACUCGGAAGGUUUGAUGGCUCGAGAAAUCAUAGAAAAUGUUGAAAGAAAAGGCUUGAACAUGAGUGGUGAAGAUGAUGACACUGCCGACAAGAUUAAGCGCAUUAAGAAAAAACUUGAUACCCUAGAACUAAUAUUAAUAGUGUUAAUUCGUGCAAGGAAUGGAUUGUCGGAGAACAUGAUCAACGCAACGCUGGUGACUGUGGCACUGGUUAUAACAGCAGUCGACCAAUCAUCUUUCAGCCCACCCAGAGGUGUUUGGCAAGUUGAUAACAACAGUAUCCCCACCACCACCUCAAACGUUACUACUACUGCUCUUCAAAUCUUUGACGACAAUUACAAUAACUCCAGAUUCAAACACCUGUUGGGUCAAGAAUCAAGGAAAACAGGUACAACAAUCAUGAAUCCCGACUUGUAUUCAAUGUUUUGGGUUUGUAAUCUCCUGACAUUUGAGCUUCCGCUCCUCUCCAAUGUUCCUUCUUUUCUUCUCAUCCCGCUUUAUUAUCUAAGCGUCUCCUACUUUUACUCGAUGACACUAAUAUCCCCGUCGUGGUUCUGGGAAAACGUCAAUUAUAUUCUCACGUGGUUAGCCAUUCUUCUCCCACUUCGCUUACUUCGCUUAAUCAUACGACUACUUAUGUCACCAGCUUACAAGGAGUACAUACGCUUACAUAGAGCUGUUACUAGAGCCAACAAAGUCGGGAUCAUCCAACCCUUGCUAAGGGGUAAUCUAGUUGAUAUUUUAUUAUGUCCUUGAUUUUUUUUUUAAUUGAACUUCUUUUUCUUUUUGUUUAUGUAAUUGCUUGGGAUAAAUUUAUGAAUAAAAUUACUUUGGUUAAACUACAUCAAUAGUCUUUUAAUUUUGUUUAUAUUUAUGUUUCAAUCACUAAAUUUUUAAAACUUAAAAAUUUAUUAUUAAUGUUAUCGGAUUGUUAUUAGGAUAAUACGGGUUUGAUGUGAAACGUUAAAUAUGCCAUAUGUUUAAAAAAAUUUCCUUUCUCUCCUUUUUCGGAUAUUAAAAUAUUUCUUCUUUUCACCUUAUCCUCUCUUCUCCUUCUUUCUCCACCAUUAAUGGUCUCACCAUCUUACUAUUGCCAGUACUCACCAGUCACCACUAUCAACAAUUUCACCAUCUCACCACAACCAAACAUGAACCAACAAACCGACUUUACCCAUAAUAAUACUCAAUAUAAGGUGUUUUUAUCUCUUCCCUUUAUGAAUAUAAUUGGUUCGAUUUUUUGGUUCAAACAAUCAACACUCUAACAGUCAAUAGACUGUGGGAUAGAUCACGUGCAAAACCAACCUAACCUAUGAGUAUAUCCAGAAGAGAAAAAUUAUACAAGUCCAACUCCCCCACAAGUUGCCAAUCGGCUCAUCCACCUUCGAAUUGAUUGGUGCAAUUGGAAUUACAUUGCCAAAUGAAAUACAUGAAGUUCAAGUGCUGACCAUCUACUAGAGGUGGACCAAGUAAAGACCAAUAUUCCAGUGUUGAUUCUCCAAGGCCCUCGAAGAGCCACCAACGCUGACAUCGCCUCCAGACUUGAUUGUUAUUAUUAUAUUCUUUUCAAAUUAUUUUAGUUGUUGUUUAGAAUGGAUCGUGACUAAUUUUUAUUAUGUAAACAAGUUUUGAAUAUUUUAUAUGAUUGAGAGAUUUGUAUGGAUGAUUAUAUUGAAUUUAGAGAGCAGUUAAAUUAUUCAAGUGAAAAAAGUUAUUUUGUAAUAGUGCAUUUGAUUGUAAAAUCUUUUUGUUGUGAUUUUAUAGGCUAAGUUCUCAGGUGAUAGAUCUAGUCUUCAAGGUACAAGAGUAAUUAAGGAUUUUAAACCGGGAUGUGUUAGAAUUAUGUUCAAUGGUUGUAAUUGUUGAAAAAUAGUGGAUUCUUCUCAUUGAAUUAGGCAUAGUAGGCAUAGAGAAAUUGAAUUGCGUCAACAACCUUGUUAUCCUCUAUUUUAAUUUUGGUAUCACAAUGCUUGCAGAAGUACCCACCUCUGCAAUCACUUUUGCUCGUAAUUGCGUAAAUAACAUUGUUAUCCUCUUUUUUUGCCAUUGUUUUUAUAAUUUAAAAACUUUUUUUAUAACUUUAAAAUGUAAAUUUUAGGAUUUUAGAGCUUUUUGAUGUUUUUAGAUUUUUAAAAAACAAAAUUUAGAAUUAUUGUUUAAAAAAUUUUAAAAGUAUGAAAACAAUAUUUUUAGUUAUAGUCAAUUUUGUUAUUAACCCUUUGAAUUAGCGUGUCACAAUCCUCUUAACAGGAGUUAAAGGAUGGGUGACCAAAAUAUAACAAUUUAAUAACGGUAGUAACUAUGACAUAAAUUUUGAAAGUUAAGCGACUAAAAUAUAAAUUUGAAGUUUUUUUUAGGAAUUAUUGUUAUAAGUUGCCCUAAUUUUAAAUUGAAUGAGAAAAAGAGGUAUUAGUUAUAGAAAGCAGUAGAAUGACAGACAACAAGCAUCUAUUUUUAUUGUUGGUUUAAUGGCUAUGAGUAUUCGUACUUGAUUUAUGUCAUAAGUUCCAACAAAAGAUAUAAAAUAAAUGAAAAAAGAGUAUCAAACAAAUCAUAUAAAAACAGGUUUAUAAUUCGUAUUUUUCACGAUUAAUUAUGUACGUGUUUUUAAUUUAAAUUUUAUUCUUUAUUCGAUAUGAUUGGACAGCAUAUAAUUACUGUAGUAACUAAAAAAUGACUAAAUCCCUAAACAUGUUUAAUUGUAAUGUAAAUUAUGGUUUCAGUUUAAGAAACCAGCUUCCAUAAAUAAAAAGACUGGUUGUUUAUUGAGCCACUAGAAGAGGCGGCAGAGGAGGAGUCGCCUAAAAUUGGAAAUAAAAUGAUUUAACGUCCUUCUUUCUCCUUUGAAUAUUCCAAGCUGUCCAUUAGUUUGACUAGUAAAGUCUAUAUGAAGUAUGGAUAUUAUUCCAAAUCAUCAACUUUAUCCACCAACAUAGUUGAGCUAUUAACACGUGUCUAUUUAUUUGCAUAAAUCGAGCCAAUGGUUUUGGAAUACUUUCUAUGGGAAUGGGUAUAUCCUUUUUUUGGGGUCAAAUAAAUCUGAAUUACUAUUUUGGUACAAAAUAAUUGAUAAAAAAUUUAUAAUUUAAAAAAAGAAAAGAAAAGAAGUAACAAAUGUUAUAAAUGUUCCAUAUCUUCAAUUAUUUACCUCAAAAUUUGUUUUAUGAUCAAUUUUUUUAAAAUUAAAUAAGAUUGAUUAAAAAUAUUCACCAUAUAAUUCAAAAUUUUAAACAUUUUAUUUUCAAACUCGUAUUCCUUAAUAAAUAAUAUAUUUUAAACUAUCUUGUUAAUACUAAUUUCUUGAUAAAUAUGUUUUUAAAUUAAUUACUUUUUUUUUCAAGAUUAUCUUAAAAUUUUUUAAGUUUGUGUUUGUUUAAAUAUUGAAAUAAUAGUUGGUUCACUACUCGUGUGGAGUUUUUAAAUUCCACAAGCAAGAUUAAGGUUGCCUGUAAAAUAAAAAAAAAAAUUUUUAAAAAGAGACAUUUGACAAUUUUUUAAGGUUGCUUGUGAUGGAAAAUGAAUCACACCGCGUUUUUUUUUUAAUUAAGUGUUAUAGUCGGUUUGUUGACUCCUAUUUUUUAGCAAGACUGUUAGACAAAUAAGUUUGUCUAAUCUUUAUGGGGUUAUUCUAUUUUCAUUAGUCUGUUAGUGGAGGAUCUUACUUCCACGAUUUAAUUGCAUAAUUGUUGAAGUUAACGAUAGUGAAUUGAUUUUGAUUAUCUUCCUCUCUUGUGUUAAGUAUUCCUUUAAAGUUUGUCAUCAAUGGUAUUAGAGCCAGGUUUAGCGUGUUUUGUAUUGUGUUCCAAAUACGAUGUCACAACAUCCGAGUGAUUUUAUUAAAUUUGUUCAACCUGCUAUUCCUUGCUUUGAUGGUCAUUAUAAUCAUUAAUGGAGCAUGUUAAUAGAAAAAUUUUUAAGGUCAAAAGAAUAUUGGUCUGUCGUUGAGGAUGGAAUCCAAGAGUUGGAAGUUGGAACCAGUUUGACAGAUGCACGGAAGAUGGAGACUAAAUUCUUAGAAAUAACAGUAUAUGGACUAAUUUUUAAAUUUGUAAAAAGUACAAGGACUUAUGAUAUAUUUUAACAUUUUAUUAUGUUUAUACUAUAAUUUAAUUUGAAUAUUUGUUAAUGCCAAAAUGAUAAUAAUAACAUGACAUAAUAAUUAUAAUGAUGAUGAUGUGUGAAAAUAAAAAUACUUCACAUUUAAAUUGAUUAUAAUUUAAAUUUAUAUAUUUCAUAUAUCAUAAUAUUAAUGAAUUUGAGUUUAUAUAUUCUAUAUAUUAUAAUAUUAACAAAUUUGAGUUUUUUUGUAUUUCUUAUUCAUUUAGUUUUAAUUUUAGAAGUGAUUUCAGGGAUGGUUUUGACCUCGUCCUCUCCAGUUUAGUAGAUAUUCGAUUCUUUUCCCAAUUUUAUCUACUACUUUAGAUCAUUCAAGGUUAAUUUUCUCAUAGUGUUAAAUGUUUGCAAUCACUCCAAAUAAUCAUACUUGAGUUGUGAUGGAGACGAUUGCUAACUUGCUAUAUAUUAUCGAUUUUAUAGCGUAAUAUUUAAAAGUAAUUUUUUACCGCCAUACUAAAAAUUUUAAAUAUUUUAAGAGUACAAUUUUUAAAAGCGAAGCUGGUCAACUUGCCCUAAAGUAAAUGGCGAAAAUGCGUCGAAAUUAUAUUGAAGUGAGAAAUGGGGAGUGGGAGUCAAGAUAUUGAUGUCUGUAAUAGGCGGCCAUCGAUUCAUAUCCGUCAUUAGAUAUAAAUAUAUUAAUCAUUUUUUAAAAUAUUCGAUAUUUUUAUGCAAUAUAAAUAUACCCUUGAGGGAUUAGUUUAGUGUCAGAUUGAGCUAAAUCAGUUGAGGUUUCAAAUAAGGAUAGUAAUUUUGCAACUCUCCUAAUUUCUUCAUCAUUUAAAGAAAGAAACAAAAGCAUGGAUCCAAGCUUGAGAGAAAUAGCUGGAACAGGAAAUAUUGAUGCCUUGUACUCUCUCAUUGGAGAGGAUCCAUACAUGUUGGAGCAUAUUGAUCAGAUUCCUUUCAUCGAUACUCCACUUCACGUAGCAGCAAAUAAAGGCCAAAUUAAGUUUGCAAUGGAGAUUAUGAACUUGAAGCCUUCGCUUGGUCGGAAGCUAAACCAAGAUGGGUUUAGCCCCAUGCACUUGGCCUUCAAAAUGGGGCAUACCAAGCUAGUGCUUCGACUGUUGCAGACCGAUAAAGACCUGGUUCGCGUCAAAGGAAGGGAAGGGAUGACCCCUUUCCAUUGUGCAGCUGCAGCGGGGAACUCUAAUCUUUUAUUCCAGUUCCUUGAAACUUGCCCUGAAUGCGUUGAGGAUGUCACGGUUCGCAACGAGACUGCAUUACAUCUUGCUCUGAAAAACGACCACACCGACGCUUUUAAUUUCUUACUUGGAUGGCUUCGAAAGAACCGUCGUGGAGGAGGCAAGGAUUUGGAAAGAAAGGUUGUGAAUUGGAGAGAUGAUGAUGACAACACUGCGUUGCACAUUGCAGCUACAAAGCAACAACACCAGGUAUAGAUGCAUUAUAAUGAUAAGUUGCGUAUAUUCCUUUGAUAAUCUUACUAAUGACUGUUUAUAAUAUUCUACGCAGGCAGUACAACUGUUGUUGGAUUCCUUUUAUGGGUUAGAUGUAAAAGCUAAGAACUCGGAAGGCUUGACAGCUCGAGAAAUCAUAGAAAAAGUUGGAAGACAAGGGUUGAACAUGAGUAGCGCCGAAGACGAUGAUAAGACCACCGCCAAGAUUAAGCGCAUUAAGAAAAGAACUAGUCGGUCUGAAAGAGCAUUAGUAAGGUUGAUUCGUACAAAGAAUGGGUUGUCGGAGAACAUGAUCAACGCAACACUGGUGGUAGCGGCGCUGGUCAUAACAGCGAUCUACCAAUCAUCUUUAAGCCCACCGAGAGGUCUUUGGCAAGGUGAUAACACGAGUAACCCCACCACCACCUCAAACCUUACUACUACCACUAAAUUUAAACUCUUUAACGACAAUUACGCUGAAAAACUUUCUAAACAUGUGUUGGGUGAAGAAACAAUGAAACCUGGUACAGCAAUCAUGAAUCCCAACUUGUUUUUAGGGUUUUGGUUAUUCAAUUUUAUAGCAUUUGGGCUUCCGGUUCUUCUAACCGUUUUCCUUUUAUACGAUGUAGCUCGUAUUCUUCUUCUCCCGCUUUAUUUUCUAUCCGUCUCCUACUUUAACUGCAUGACAAUAAUAUCUCCGUCCAUGUUUUGGGCAAACCUCAACUUUGUUGUCAUGUGGACAGCCAUUAUUCUCCCGUCUGUCUUAGUUUUUGGAGGCGUAUGGUUAUGUAUGCUGCCAAAGCACCGGGAAAUCAGACAAAUACGCAGACGUGUCCGCAAUGACAAUAAUAUCGGAAUAAUUCAGUACUUGCGAAUGUCAGUCUAACUUAUAUAUUAUAUUUAUGUACCCUUUUCCAUUUUCUCUGUAUUAAUAUCUUUUCUUUUUGAAAAAAGAAAAAACACUAUGUAAUUGCUUUGGAUAAAUUUAAUAAAAACAGAUAUAUUUGAAGUAUUGUUUGUUUAAAAUCCACUGAUUUCUAAAUGUGUUAAUAUCAUUUUCGAGUUAUUAAUUAAAAAUAUCUUUAACAUAAAGAUAUAUGUAAUAAUUACAUACUUAUUAUUUUAUCUAUAUAAUAAAAAAGUUAUUGAUUAAAAAGAUGAAUUAAAAAAUUAGAAAAUAAUAUAUUUGUUAAUUAAAAAGUACUAUUUUUUUAAAAAAAUAACAUGAGAUAAAAAUAUAAAUAUGCGUAGGAGAUGUCUCAAAAAUAAAAUGACUAACAUUUAACUAUUUGAUCAAAUGAAUUAAUGCGUCAAGUUAUUAAAAAAUAUAUAUUUUAUCCUACAAGAUGCAUUUUACAAAAUCAACUUAUUUCUAUAAAUAUUAAAAAAAUCUACCUAAUACUCUAAUUAUUUUCUAAAAAGGACAGAUAUUGCUAGUGUACCCUAAAACUAGGAUGCGCCACGCUUUCUAAAGCAAAUAAUAAUAAUACAUUAAUCUAAAUUUCAUGAGCCCUUUUCUUAAUUCUAAGAAAUAAAAUCUCUCAAAUAAAAAUAAUACAUAAAAUAAUCUUAAGUCUCGUAUGCGAAAUUGAGUUUUUGUGUCAAAUUUGUAUAUUCGUUAUAGAAAUGAUAAAUUAAGUAAAAUUCAUGUCCAAAAUUAAUUAAAAUAAAUAAUAAAAAUAUAUUAUCAUCUAUAUUUUAUAAUAUUAACUAUCAUUUAAAUAUAUAUUGUCUACUUUAUAACAUAAAUAUUUUAUCUUUUAAAAAAUACUCUUCUUCUUCUUUUUUACAAACAAAGACUGGACAUAUUUAUUGAAGUAAUACAACAAUGAGAAUAAAAAACAAAAACCAGCCAAAUAAAUAUAAACCCUAGGACUUAAAACAUUUUUCAUCUAAAAACAAGAAUAUUAAAAUACUGAAAAACCUCCAAAUUUACCGUUAUCUACAUCCAUUACUAAUCGUAGACGGUGACAAAGACAUUCGACAGAUGAUAAGCAUUAAAAAUUACUCUUUUAACUACAAUACUAAAAGCGUCCGCAAACCAUUUUUCAAUAAAGAUAUUAAUCAAGCCGGAUUAAUUUAGAGUUAAAUCGAGUAAGUCUAAGGGUGAAUUUGGAUGGGUGAUUGGGUGCUGUGCGGUACGUUUAGUUUACUUUUUGUCUCACGCUAUAGUAUCGCUACAGUAUCUAAUCUUACCGCCAUCGCUAUUUUUACACUAACCGCAGGUAAAUCCACCGCCCAUCCAAACUCACUCUAGAUUAAGUCCGUAGAUGAAUUUCCACAUCUUUUUUUAGGCAUUAAAUUGAGAGCCAAUCAAACCUUCCCCUAAUUCCCCUUACCAAUCUAUAAAAAAUUGGAUCUUUGGUUUGAUUUUAUCAAUAAAAGAAAUUCCUUCCUCGGUUUCUUAAAUUUGAUAACUUUUAUCAUUAUCAUUAUUUUGUUCACUUUUCAUCAAUAAUGAGAUCAAUUGUUUCGCUAAUAGAAUAGAAAAUAGAUAGUUACUCAAUAUUAUAAUGGUACCAUGUGUUUUUAUGUUUUUAAUUUUUAAUAUAAUUAAAGGAUGCAUUGUAAUGUAAAGAAUAAUAAUUCUAAUUAUCUAUGCUUAAAAUUAAUUCAGUUGUGCUUUCAAUCAAUGUAUGAUUUUGAUAUUGCAAGAGGUGUCCAGCUAUGUGGUGAGAUCUUGAAGGUGUGUCUUUGUAACAACUUGAGAAGCUUUUUGGAUUUUUUUUCUUCUUCUUUUAGGUUUAUUAUUAGUAAAUGAAUUUUUGCUGCAAAAAAUUAGCUUAAAAACAAAAUAUAAAAAUGAUAGGAAAUAUGUUAAUUUUAUACAACGACAAUUAAUGACAUUGCAAUAUAUUACUUAACAACAUGAACAAUCCCCACCAUCGUAUUGUCAUUCCCAAGUAAUGGCGUAUUCUCUUUACUUGGAAAAUAUCCCUCCUAACGCUGGCCGAAAUUGGUUGAAACAUUAUGCAGCUCAUUUGGUAAGAUAAUGGACGUGUUUAUUGCAUCAAAAAGAAAUAGAAGAGGUCGUCGGUUUUGUUUCGUUAGGUAUGGUAGGUUGGAAGAAGCAAAGAGAGCAUUGUGGAGUCUAGAUGGAAGGUGGUUCUCUAAUCAUAGAUUGACAGUCAGUAUGGCGAAGUUUAAACCUAGAGAUGAUUUGUGGAGGAAGGCAAAUGGGAGAGAGGUCAGACAACAUACAUAGAAUAUGGAAAGAAGAUGUGUUGAAGGAAAUACGGGGCCGCAUGCAAGUGAGAUUAUGGCAAAUAAUAAACAACAUGAAGAAAAUGACCCAAUCAAGUUGGACGAGAUGGUGGAAGAUUUAUGAAUUUCCAGAACAAAGUAGUAGAGGGAGCCAUUGAUGGAGAGAACUUGAAGUGGCUUGAAAAAUGUAUUGUGGGUAGAAUGAGAAACAAUGCUACUGUGGGGUUAUGGGGUGAUACUGGAAUUUAUAAAAUUGGAGUCCAAAGAUUAUCGGGUAAUGAUUUGUAUGAAUUGGAAGCCAAUGAAUGGGGAGAUGUUUUGCAAGUGUUUCAGAAAGUUGAACGGUGGACAACAAAGAUGAAAGAGUAAGGUGGUUAUCCUGUUACGAGAUUCCAAUACAUGGUCUUCGAGGAGGAAGUAGUUAAACAACUUGCUGCUAUUGAAUAGUAAAAUUGGUUUGAUUUAUUAUUUUUGGUGCAAACAAUCAACACUCAAACGGUCAAUCGGCUGUCGGGUAGAGCACGUGCAAAACCAACCUAGCAUAUGAGAAUAUAUCCAAAAGAAGAAACUUAUCCAAGUCCAACCCCCCACAAGUUCCCAGUCGGCUCAUCCCAUUGACCUUUCCACAACUUCGAAUUGAUUGGUGCAAUGCGAGGUCCAAUAUUGGAAGGAGAAUGGAAUCUUAACCGUGGGACCACACUUAAGCCGGCGUCCUAAAUGAUUAGAUGCGUGGAAGACGGUGGGUAUUCUUUCACCCAAUAACAUCACUACAUAUACACAAACCAUGUCUGCCCAUCUAGUGGGCUACUUGUGAUAAAACAGGAAAGCAAUGAAAAAUAAUAAUAUAAAGAAGAGAAAAACAAAAUCCUACACCUAAUAUAAUUUUUCCUAAAUACAAGAAAACAAGUUUUGGGAUAGAAAAUCAUAUCGAAGAUUAAACGAUUCAAUUCAUUUAGAUUUGAACGUUAAUUAAAUGAUUAAACAUUCAAAUCUCGUUAAAUUCAUGAACACAAUUUACAAGCUUUUUAUUAGUUAGAAUAUUCUCUAAUGCUUAAACGGUAUCAAUUCAAUCGAUUUAGUUCUUUUAUUAAGAACUAAGAACUGUCAGAGACAUUUUAAAAGGGUUACGUAUAGCAUGGGAGAAAAAGUUUUGUCAAUUAGAGAUUAAGAGAUUGAUUGCAGAGAUGAUUGCAGAGAGAGGAGCAGUUGAUAGUUAGUUGAUGGAAUUACAUUCUAUUCAUGGAAUGAUGCAUUGAGAUUGAAAGAUUUGUUUUCGACAUAUCCCAAGAACUCACAAGAUUAUAGCGACAAGAUUCACUGAGGUCCAAGUAUUUAAAAAUCCACUUUAUUUUGUACAAGAUUUAGAACAAGCAGAUUACAUUAGCGUUACACAGACUAAUACGUUAUCUUAAUAGUAUUAUUUUAAUUUACGAAAAUAAUAAUAAUGGAGCCCAUGCAUGGUUUUGGAAUCUUUUCUAUGUCACAGCUCUGGGGAUGGGGUCAAGACACAACUAUCCUUUUUUGAGGUCAAAUAAAUCUCAAUUAGUUUUUUUAACCCUCUGUAUAUUUAUCUAAUAAAAUUUUGAUAUAAUAUUUUCCACAUUUCAUAAUGAUCGAAGAAGUGUAAAAAAAAAAAGUUGAUAAAAAGUUUAUAAUUCAAAAUUGUUCCAUAUCUUGGAUUAUUUACCUGAAAAUUUGAUAUGUUAUAUAAAAAUUUAUUUUAUGAUCAAUAUAUAUCAAGAAAAAAAAUUGAUUAAAAAUAUCCACCAAAAUGAUAAGAAUGUACAUAAUUCAAAAUUUUAAACAUCUUAUUUUUAAACUGAUAUUCCUAUGUAAAUUAUAUAUUUUAAAAUAUGUUUUUAAUACUGAUAUUUCUUAAGAAAUUUGUUUCUAAAUUAAAUACUUUUUUUUUCAGAAUUAUCUUAAAAUUUUUGAAAUUUAUGUUUGUUUAAAUAUUGAAAUAAUUUUUGAUACGCUGCUUGUGGAAAAAGAUUGACAAAAAAUAGUAAAAUAUUAAAAAAAGGACACAUACUACCAAUACACAAAAUAUAUUAUCUAUUUUAUAACAUAUUACUUAAAAUAAAUAUUUUAUUUUCACAACAAUACUAAAAAUAUAAAUUUUAGAGUAAAAAUUUUUGAAAGCGAAGCUGGUCAACUUGCCUUUAAACAAGUGGCGAAAAUGCGUCCAAAUUAUAUCAAAGUGAGAAACAGGGAGUGGGAUUCAAGAUUUUGUCGUCUGUGAUAGGCGGCCACCGAUUUAUAUCCCUCAUCAAAUAUAGAUAUAUUAAUCAUUUUUUAAAAUAUUCGAUAUUUAUAUUCAAUAUAAAUCUACCCUUGACGGAAUAGUUUAGUGUAAGCUUGGUUUAAAUCAGUUGAGGUUUCAAAUAAGGAUAGUUUGCAACUCUCCUAAUUUCUUCAUCAUUUAAAGAAAGAAACAAAAGCAUGGAUCCAAGCUUGAGAGAAGUAGCUGGAACAGGAGAUACUGAUGCCUUGUACGCUCUAAUUCGAAAGGAUCCGUACAUGUUGGAGCAUAUUGAUCAGAUUCCUUUCACCGAUACUCCACUUCACAUAGCAGCAAAUGAAGGCCAAAUUAAGUUUGCAAUGGAGAUGAUCAACUUGAAGCCUUCGUUUGGUCGGAAGCUAAACCCAGACGGGUUUAGCCCCAUGCACUUGGCCCUCCAAACGGGGCAUACCAAGCUAGUGCUUCGACUGUUGAAGACCGAUAAAGACCUGGUUCGCGUCAAAGGAAGGGAAGGGAUGACCCCUUUCCAUUGUGCAGCUGCAGUGGGGAACUCUAAUCUUUUAUUCCACUUCCUUGAAACUUGCCCUGAGUGCGUUGAGGAUGUCACGGUUCGUAACGAGACUGCAUUACAUCUUGCUCUGAAAAACGACCACACCGACGCUUUUAAUCUCUUACAUGGAUGGCUUCGAAAGAACCGUUGUGGAGGAGGCAAGGAUUUGGAAAGAAAGGUUGUGAAUUGGAGAGAUGAUGAUGACAACACUGCGUUGCACAUUGCAGCUACAAAGCAACAACAUCAGGUAUAUAUGCAAUAUAAUGAUAAGUUGCGUUCCUUUGAUCAUUUUAUUAAUUAUGACUACUUAUAAUAUACUACGCAGGCAGUACAACUGUUGUUGGAGUCCUUUUAUGGGUUAGAUGCAAACGCUAAGAACUCGGAAGGUUUGACAGCUCGAGAAAUCAUAGAAAGGGUUGAAAGACAAGGGCUGAACAUGAGUGGCGCCGAAGACGAUGAUACCACCACCGCCAAGAUUGAGCGCAUUAAGAACAGAACUAGUAGGUCUGAAAGAGCAUUAGUAAAGUUGAUUCGUGCAAGGAAUGGGUUGUCAGAGAACAUGCUCAACGCAACACUGGUGGUAGCGGCGCUGGUCAUAACAGCAAUCUACCAGUCAUCUUUAAGCCCACCAAGAGGUCUUUGGCAAGGUGAUAACACUAUCCGCACCACCACCUCAAACCUUACUUCUACUACUAAAUUUACACUCUUUAACGACAAUUACGAUAUAGCAAGUUCUAGACAUGUGUUGGGUGAAGAAACAAGGAAAACUGGUACAGCAAUCAUGAACCCCAACUUGUUUUUAGGGUUUUGGUUAUUCAAUUUAAUAGCAUUUGGGCUUCCAGUUCUUCUAACCGUUUUGUUUUUAUCCAAUGUACCUAGUAUUCUUCUCAUCCCGCUUUAUUAUCUAUCCGUCUCCUACUUCAACUGCAUGACAAUAAUAUCUCCUUCCUCGUUUUGGGCAAGCAUCAACUAUGUUAUCAUGUGGGCAGCCAUUGGUCUCCCGUUGCUCUUAGUUGUUAGAAGCGUAUGGUUAUGGAAGCAGCCAAAGUACAGGGAAAUCAGACAAUUACGCAGACUUUUCCGCAAGUAAAAUAAUGUUGGAACCAUUCAACGGUUGCGAAUGUCAAUGUUGUUUAUAUGUUCUCUUACGUUAUGUACUUUUUUCCAUUUUCGGUAAAAAAUUUAUGUAAUUGUUUUGGAUAAAUUUAAUAAAUAAGAUUACUUUUUCCAACAAUAUCUUUGUCCUUUGCAACAGAAAAAAAAAACAUAGAAAAACCAACCAUCCUAUUUUAUAAUUUAAAAGAAUAUUUUCCUUUUUGUAAAAAGAGAUAUUUUCGAAGUAUUGUUAAUUCAAAAUUAACAAAUUUUUUAAUAAAUCGAUAUUAUUCUCUAAAUAUUUUCUAAAAAAAAUACAAAUUCAUAAACAACAGCUAUAUUCUUUUUCGUUGUGAUUUCGGCAAUAUAAGGCCGAAUUAAAUUUGUAAAAAGGGGUUACGAAGAUUGUAUCAAGAAACGAUUAGAAGAAUAUAAAAAAAAACAACACAGAGAAAAAUAGCAAUUUGGAGAGGUGAUUUUCUCUUUGGGAUUUUCUUUUCAUUUUUUCCUUUUGAUUUACUGUUUUUUGCAUAAAACAAAUAGAAAAGAAAAGGAGGAACCAUACCUGGGAGGCGUGCUUGCGAAGCCCUUCCUUGUUCUGUGCAGGGUGCAGAAUGAAGGAGUAGAGGGCUUUUGGGAAGAAGCGGCGCACGCAGGAGAGGAAUAACCUAGGGGUUUUUUUUUUUUUUAAAACCUUUAAAUGGCUUUUAUGCAGCAUACAACACGGCACCGUUUGGAGCCUGAUCAGUGGUUUCAAAACGGUGCCGUAUAGGCCUGUACCCAUGCGCGACCCGAUCCGACCCUGAGAGGAUCCGCGCGUUUUGUAAAUGGUUUAUUUUCUCGUUUGAUCCUUCUUGUUUUUCAAAAUGUGUUUAAUUAUUUUUUUCUUUUUAAAUUCAAUCACAAGUUUUAUUUCUGUUCUAAUUUAAUCCCCUAUCUGUUAUUAGUUAUUUAUUAUUAAUUAUUUUUACUAUUAUUUUUAUUAUUGUAUAAUAUCAUUUUUAUGGUGUUAUUAUUACCAUUACAACCAUAUUUAUGCAUACAUUUUUUUUGAAAUAUACGUACAUUUUUUUUAUAAUUUAUAUAUGUACAUACGUUUUUUAUAUUACACAAUUUAUAUACGUAUCUUUAUAUAUAUUUAAAUACAUAUUACUUUAAUUUUCAUAAAUAUAUAUAUACAUUUACAUUUUAUAAUACAUAUACAUUUUCCAAACUUUAUAGUCCAUACGUAUAUACAUUCAUUUUCUAUAAUAUACAUAUACGUACAUUUUUUGAAAUUAUUAUAAAUAUUUUUUUUUGCAUAUUUCAUUUUUUAUAUACAUAUACUUAUAUAUACAUAUUUUAAUACAUGCAUAUACAUAUUUUCAUAGUUUACUUAUAUAUUAUACUUAUACAUUUUUUAUAUUUUGUAAAUAUAAGCCGACCGAGAGGUCUUUGGCAAGGUGAUAACACUAGUAACCCCACCACCACCUCAAACCUUACUACUACCACUAAAUUUAAACUCUUUAACGACAAUUACGCUGAAAAACUUUCUAAACAUGUGUUGGGUGAAGAAACAAUGAAACCUGGUACAGCAAUCAUGAAUCCCAACUUGUUUUUAGGGUUUUGGUUAUUCAAUUUUAUAGCAUUUGGGCUUCCGGUUCUUCUAACCGUUUUCCUUUUAUACGAUGUAGCUCGUAUUCUUCUUCUCCCGCUUUAUUUUCUAUCCGUCUCCUACUUUAACUGCAUGACAAUAAUAUCUCCGUCCAUGUUUUGGGCAAACCUCAACUUUGUUGUCAUGUGGACAGCCAUUAUUCUCCCGUCUGUCUUAGUUUUUGGAGGCGUAUGGUUAUGUAUGCUGCCAAAGCACCGGGAAAUCAGACAAAUACGCAGACGUGUCCGCAAUGACAAUAAUAUCGGAAUAAUUCAGUACUUGCGAAUGUCAGUCUAACUUAUAUAUUAUAUUUAUGUACCCUUUUCCAUUUUCUCUGUAUUAAUAUCUUUUCUUUUUGAAAAAAGAAAAAACACUAUGUAAUUGCUUUGGAUAAAUUUAAUAAAAACAGAUAUACCUAGAGAUGAUUUGUGGAGGAAGGCAAAUGGGAGAGAGAUCAGACAACAUACAUAGAAUAUGGAAAGAAGAUGUGUUGAAGGAAAUACGGGACCGCAUGUAGGGAAGAAUGCAAGUGAGAUUAUGGCAAAUAAUAAACAACAUGAAGAAAAUGACCCAAUCAAGUUGGACGAGAGGGUGGAAGAUUUAUGAAUUUCCAGAACAAAGUAGUAGAGGGAGCCAUUGAUGGAGAGAACUUGAAGUGGCUUGAAAAAUGUAUUGUGGGUAGAAUGAGAAACAAUGCUACUGUGGGGUUAUGGGGUGAUACUGGAAUUUAUAAAAUUGGAGUCAAAAGAUUAUCGGAUAAUGAUUUGUAUGAAUUGGAAGCCAAUGAAUGGGGAGAUGUUUUGUAAGUGUUCAGAAAGUUGAACGGUGGACCACAAAGAUGAAAGAUUAAGGUGGUUAUCCUGUUACGAGAUUCCAAUACAUGCUUGGUCUUCGAGGAGGAAGUAGUUAAACAACUUGCUGGCUUGCUGCUAUUGAAUAUUAUAAUUGGUUUGAUUUAUUAUUUUUGGUACAAACAAUCAAGACUCAAACAGUCAAUCGACUGUCGGAUAGAGCACGUGCAACCAACCUAACAUAUGAGAAUAUAUCCAGAAGAAGAAACUUAUCCAAGUCCAACCCCCCACAAGUUGCCAAUCGGCUCAUCCCAUUGACCUUUCCACACCUUCGAAUUGAUUGGUGCAAUGCGAGGUCCAAUAUUGGAAGGAGAAUGGAAUCUAAACCGUGGGACCACACUUAAGCCGGCGUCCUAAAUGACUAGAUGCGUGGAAGACGGUGGGUAUUCUUUCACCCAAUAACAUCACUACAUAUACACAAACCAUGUCUGCCCAUCUUGUGGGCUACUUGUGAUAAAACAGGAAAACAAUGAAAAAUAAUAAUAUAAAGAAGAGAAACAAAAUCCACACCUAAUAUAAUUUUUCCUAAAUACAAGAAAACAAGUUUUGGGAUAAAAAAUCAUAUCCAAGAUUAAAGGAUUCAAUUCAUUUAGACUUGAAUGUUAAUUGAAUGAUUAAACAUUCAAAUCUCGUUAAAUUCAUGAACAGCUUUUCAUUAGAUAGAAUAUUCUCUAUUUCUUAAAUUUAAUUCUUUUAUAUUAAGAUCUGUUUGAGACAUUAAAAAUUGGUUUAAUUUACCAAAAUAAUAAUAAUGAGGCCCAUGGUUUUGGAAUCUUUUCUAUGUCACAGCUAUGGCGAUGGGGUCAAGACACAACUGUCCUUUUUUGAGGUCAAAUAAAUUGAUUAAAAAUAUCCACCAAAAUGAUAAGAAUGUACAUAAUUCAUCUUAUUUUUAAACUGAUAUUCCUAAGUAUAUUAUAUAUUUUUAAUACUGAUAUUUCUUAAUAAAUUUGUUUCUAAAUUAAAUAUUUUUUUUCAAAAUCAUCUUAAAGUUUUUGAAACUUAUGUUUGUUUAAAUAUUAAAAUAAUUUUUAAUACACUGCUUGUGGAAAAAGUUUGACAAAAUAUAAUAAAAUAUCAAAAAAAAGACGCAUACCAAUACACAAAAUAUAUUAUCUAUUUUAUAACAUAUUAUUUAAAAUAAAUAUUUUAUUUUCUAAAAGUAAUUUUUUACCGCAAUACCAAAAAUAUAAAUUUUAGAGUAAAAUUUCUGAAAGCGAAGCUGGUCAACUUGCCUUGAAACAGAUGGCGAAAAUGAGUCCAAAUUAUAUCGGAGCGAGAAACAGGGAGUGGGAUUCAAGAUUUUGACGUACUGUAUAGGCGGCCACCGAUUUAUAUCCCUCGUCAUAUAUAGAUAUAUUAAUCAUUUUUUAAAAUUUUCGAUAUUUAUAUUCAAUAUAAAUCUACCCUUGACGGAUUAAUUAGUUUAGUGUAAGCUUGGUUUAAAUCAGUUGAGGUUGCAAAUAAGGAUAGUCAGUUUGCAACUCUCCUAAUAUUUUCAUCAUUUAAAGAAAGAAACAAAAGCAUGGAUCCAAGCUUGAGAGAAGUAGCUGGAACAGGAGAUACUGAUGCCUUGUACGCUCUAAUUCGAAAGGAUCCGUACAUGUUGGAGCAUAUUGAUCAGAUUCCUUUCAUCGAUACUCCACUUCACAUAGCAGCAAAUGAAGGUCAAAUUAAGUUUGCAAUGGAGAUGAUCAACUUGAAGCCUUCGUUUGGUCGGAAGCUAAACCAAGACGGGUUUAGCCUGUUAGAAAUCAAACCCACUCCAAGCAUAAUCUAGAAGCAUGAGACGUGGAGCAAUUUUGUGCUAUGCAAAGUGCUGAAAUUUUAGCCAUACAAAGUGCUCCAUUAUUGAGAUGUUUUGUGGCUGGAAAUUAAGUGGAUUAAUAGCCACAUUUGUUGUCACUUUAUCAGCCUAUAAAUAGAGGCUUGAACUUGUGUUGUAAUGAAGAAAAAUGAGAAGAAAAAAGAAAUAAGAGAAGCAACGUGAGUGAGAGUGAGAAGGUUAGCAAACCUUGAGUGAGUUAAAAUCUAGCAGCAGCUAGACUAUCUAGUCAUUGAGAAAAUAUUUGUAAUCUUCGUAUUGUAAUAUAUUGAGUGUGUAAUAAAAAGUAAAUUUUCGGCCCAUCACGUUUCCAACAAGUGGCAUCAGAGCUACGGUUCGGAGCUUGGUUCGGAGUUCGGUUCGUGUCCGGUUCGUGUCCAGUUCGGAGUACCUUUGGUGUUCAUCUAACAAGUCGAUAUGGGCGACGUAAUUCAGCUACAAGUUCCACAAUUGACGAAGACAAAUUAUGGAAAUUGGAGCAUUCGAAUGAAGGCUUUGCUCGGUUCGCAAGAUUGUUGGGAGAUCGUUGAAAAAGGAUACAUCGAGCCCGGAGAUGCCGCUACAGAAGCAGCUUUAUCAAAUGACGCUAAGAAGGCGUUACGAGAAGCACGAAAGAAGGAUCAAAAGGCCUUGAAUAGUAUCUUUCAAGGAAUGGAUGAAUCAACCUUCGAGAAAAUAUCAGAUGUGAAGAACGCGAAGAAUGCAUGGGAGAUUUUGCAAAAAUCAUUUCAAGGUGUAGAAAAAGCUAAAAAGGUACGCCUUCAGUCACUUAGAGCUGAAUUUGAAAUGUUAAAAAUGAAGAGCUCCGAGAAUAUCGAUGACUAUGCCAAUCGUGUAAAAUCGGUGGUAAAUGAAAUGAAACGAAAUGGAGAAACUCUUGACGAGGUAAGAGUGAUGGAGAAAAUUCUACGGUCACUCACACGCAAAUUCGAGUACGUAGUCGUUGCCAUCGAAGAAUCAAAAGAUUUGUCAAAGAUGUCGCUCGAAGAACUUGUGGGUUCUCUGCAAGCCCAUGAGCAAAAGAUGAAGCUAAAUGAAGAUAGUGAAAAUCUUGAUCAAGCCUUGCAUAGCAAGUUGUCCGUCGACGACGGAGAAACAAGUAAUAACUUUAACCAAGGAAGAGGAAACCGCAGAGGAUACCGUGGAGGCUACCGUGGUGGAAACAGAGGAGGAAGAGGAUCACGAGGACAUGGAAAUCAAUCAUAUGGGAGAUAUCAAGAAAAUAAAGAUUAUCAAACAUCCAACCGUGGACGUGGAUCUAGAGGUCGUGGCCGAGGCAGAUUUCAAGAAAAUAAAUCUCAGGUACAAUGCUACAACUGUAACAAGUAUGGACAUUUCAGUUACGAGUGCAGAUCAACACACAAAGUGGAUGAAAGAAACCAUGUAGCAGUCGCAGCAGAAGGCAACGAAAAAGUGGAAUCAAGUGUCUUUCUCACUUACGGAGAAAAUGAAGAUCGCAAGAGAAGUGUGUGGUAUCUCGACAACGGUGCAAGCAACCACAUGUGUGGAAGAAAGGAGCUGUUCACAGAAUUAGAUGAAACAGUUCAUGGACAAAUAACUUUUGGAGACAACUCACAUGCAGAAAUCAAAGGAAAGGGCAAGGUUGUUAUAACACAAAGGAAUGGAGAGAAGAAGUACAUCUCAGACGUUUACUACGUACCAGCUUUGAAGAGCAACCUGAUCAGUCUUGGUCAACUCCUAGAAAAAGGAUAUGAAGUUCAUAUGAAAGACCGCUCACUCGCCAUCAGGAACAAAAGUGGAGAAUUAGUUGUUCGAGUUGAUAUGACGCGAAAUCGUCUUUUCACCCUCGACAUCGAGUCUGGAGAAGUAAAAUGCAUGAAGACGGAUCUGAAGAAUGAAUCAUGGUUGUGGCACUUAAGGUACGGACAUCUCGGAUUUUCUGGCUUGAAGCUGUUGUCGAAGACAAAUAUGGUGAAUGGAUUACCAAGUAUUAAUCAUCCAGAUCAACUGUGUGAAGCCUGUGUCAAAGGAAAGCAGCAUAGGCAGAAAUUUGAAGUAGGAAAAUCUCGAAGAGCUAGAAGACCAUUGGAAAUUGUACACACCGACAUAUCUGGUCCGUACGACAUUGAAUCACUCGGUGGAAACAGGUACUACCUAACUUUUAUUGAUGAUUAUAGCAGAAAAUGUUGGGUUUAUUUUCUCAAAGCAAAAUCGGAAGCCCUAGAAAAAUUCAAGGAGUUCAAAGCAAUGGUGGAAAAACAGAGUGGUCGAUAUUUGAAGAUACUCAGAUCCGAUAGAGGAGGCGAGUAUACUGCAAAGCUUUAUGAAAGUUUCUGCAAGGAUCAUAGAAUCAUUCAUUAGUUAACAGUCAGACGCACUCCACAACAAAACGGAGUUGCAGAAAGGAAGAAUCGGACAAUUCUGGAUAUGCCAAGAAGCAUGAUAAAAGGUAAACACCUUCCGAGAACUUUCUGGGCUGAAGCCGUUGAAUGCGCAGUUUAUCUGUUGAAUCAAUGUCCAACAAAAAGUGUAAGACACAAGACACCAGAAGAAGCAUGGAGCGGUCACAAGCCAAGAGUUGGACACCUCAAAAUUUUUGGAUGCAUUGCAUAUGCACACGUUCCUGAGCAACAGAGGAAAAAGCUUGACGAUAGAGGAGAGAAGUGUAUCUUUAUAGGCUAUGACAAAAGAAGUAAGGCCUACAGACUUUAUAAUCCUCUUACUAAGAAAUUGAUUAUCUCAAGAGAUGUCGAGUUCGAUGAAGCGGAUUACUGGAGAUGGAGUGAAGAAGAAAAGAAAGUGGAAGGAUUAUUUUUCAACGAAGACGACAAUAACCAAGAAGAACAAGGCGAUGAUCAAAGUCCUGGUACAACAGCCCCUUCGUCACCAACCAGCAGCAGCGGAAGCAGCAGCUCAGAUGAAGCACCCACAAGAACACGGAGUCUCAACGACAUCUACAAUUCUAUGGAACCUGUAGAGACGCAGUUCGAUUAUUCACUAUUCUGUCUAAUGACAGAAUGUGAUCCAGUGACGUACGAAGAAGCAAUUGAAAACAAUAAAUGGAAGAAGGCCAUGGACGAGGAGAUUGCUGCAAUAAGAAGGAAUGACACGUGGGAGCUAACAAGUCUGCCAGAAGGACAUAGCCCGAUUGGUGUCAAGUGGGUGUACAAGACGAAGACCAACAAAGAAGGAAAAGUAGAGAAAUACAAGGCAAGAGUAGUCGCCAAAGGCUACAAGCAAAGACAAGGAGUGGACUAUGAUGAAAUAUUUGCUCCAGUCGCAAGAAUAGACACAAUUAGGCUUCUCAUAGCGGUCGCAGCACAAUACAAAUGGAAAAUCUAUCAGAUGGACGUCAAGUCUGCAUUCCUGAAUGGCUACUUGGAGGAGGAAGUCUACAUAGAACAACCACCUGGAUAUAGCAUACAAGGAAAGGAGGACAAAGUCUACCGAUUGAAGAAAGCUUUGUAUGGAUUGAAGCAAGCCCCAAGAGCAUGGAACACAAGGAUCGACGAGUACUUCCGAAGAAAUGGAUUCAUCAAAAGCCCGCACGAGCACACCCUGUACACAAAGAAGAAUGGAUAUGGAGAUAUCAUGAUCGUAUGCCUAUAUGUGGAUGACAUGAUCUUCACCGGAAACAAUCCAGGUAUGUCUGAUGAUUUCAAGAAAGCUAUGACUAAAGAAUUUGAAAUGACAGAUAUCGGUGAGAUGUCAUACUUUCUUGGAGUCGAGGUGAAACAAAUGCAAGAUGGAAUUUUUGUCUCUCAAAAGAAGUAUGCGGAGCAGAUUUUGAACAAGUUCAAAAUGAAGGAUUGCAAGCCAGUAGUCACGCCAGCUGAUCCAGGGAUGAAGCUAAGUGUUGAUUCGACAAGGGAGUCGAUAAAUCCGACGUUGUUUAAAAGUCUCGUUGGAAGUUUAAGGUAUUUGACAAUCACACGACCAGAUAUUACAUAUGCAGUAGGAUUGGUGAGCAGAUUCAUGGAGAAGCCAAAGCAAGACCACUUAAUUGCCGCAAAAAGAAUUUUGAGAUAUAUCAAAGGUACGAUGAACCAUGGUUUAUUCUAUACCCACUCACAAGAUUCAAAAUUAGUUGGCUACUCAGAUAGCGAUUAUGGGGGAGACUUGGAUGAUCGGAAAAGCACUUCCGGAUAUGCAUUCCACAUCAGUUCCGCAGUUUUUUCAUGGUCGUCAAAGAAGCAACAAACAAUUGCUCUCUCAACAUGUGAAGCAGAGUAUAUGGCCGCAGCAACUUGUACAUGCCAAGCAAUGUGGUUGAAGAAUAUUUUGGGAGAAAUAGGUGUUUCAAAUGAAGGUCCAAUUACCAUCUACGUUGACAACAAAUCCGCUAUAUCACUUGCCAAGAAUCCGGUGUCGCACAGCCGAAGCAAGCACAUCGAUACGAAGUAUCAUUUUAUCCGAGAGCAAGUGAAAAACAAAAACGUGGAGUUGGUCCAUUGCAGGACAGAAGAUCAACUGGCAGAUAUUUUCACAAAGCCGUUGAAAGUGGAGACAUUCAACAAAUUCAAAGAGAAGCUCAGUAUGAAAGUUGGGUUUGAGGGGGAGUGUUAGAAAUCAAACCCACUCCAAGCAUAAUCUAGAAGCAUGAGACGUGGAGCAAUUUUGUGCCAUGCAAAGUGCUGAAAUUUUAGCCAUACAAAGUGCUCCAUUAUUGAGAUGUUUUGUGGCUGGAAAUUAAGUGGAUUAAUAGCCACAUUUGUUGUCACUUUAUCAGCCUAUAAAUAGAGGCUUGAACUUGUGUUGUAAUGAAGAAAAAUGAGAAGAAAAAAGAAAUAAGAGAAGCAACGUGAGUGAGAGUGAGAAGGUUAGCAAACCUUGAGUGAGUUAAAAUCUAGCAGCAGCUAGACUAUCUAGUCAUUGAGAAAAUAUUUGUAAUCUUCGUAUUGUAAUAUAUUGAGUGUGUAAUAAAAAGUAAAUUUUCGGCCCAUCACGUUUCCAACAUAGCCCCAUGCACUUGGCCCUCCAAAUGGGGCAUACCAAGCUAGUGCUUCGACUGUUGAAGACCGAUAAAGACCUGGUUCGCGUCAAAGGAAGGGAAGGGAUGACCCCUUUCCAUUGUGCAGCUGCAGUGGGGAACUCUAAAUCUUUUAUUCCACUUCCUUGAAACUUGCCCUGAAUGCGUUGAGGAUGUCACGGUUCGUAACGAGACUGCAUUACAUCUUGCUCUGAAAAACGACCACACCGACGCUUUUAAUCUCUUACAUGGAUGGCUUCGAAAAAACCGUCGUG
rnacentral:lncRNA from 1 species